rnacentral:lncRNA from 1 species
AGACCUCGACCUCUUACUUAAUUGGCUCAAAUGGCGCUUUCUAGGUAACAGCUGUGGAGCUGUCUGUAAAAGAAAAUAUGAGACCUUUUUUUCCACAUUAUUUAUGUACAAGCUGUUAUAAAGAAAUGAAGCCCACAUAGAUAAAGCUAUAGGGCAUUAGUCAAAAGAUAGAGAUAUAAUUAGAGGGUAUUAGUUAAAAGAUGGGAUAAUGAUGUUGGGGAGAAAUCAUUAUGUCUCCCUUAAAGGCCAUUUGCUUUGCCUAUAAAUAAACAUUAUAUUUGCUUGUAAACAUACGAAAGAGAAGAAGAGAAAGAGUAAGAGUCAGAGAGAAGAGAAAGAGUGGAGUCUAUCUGAGGAGAAAUUCUGCCAGUGUAAACACCACAAAGAGAAAUAUAAUUACACUCCCAAUAUUACAGUGGUACUUCUCAUCCUCUGACUACUCUAGUUUUAUAACACAAGCAUCCUUUUUAUGUUUUUUUUUUCUAAAUGAAAGAAAAGUUUGGGGGGAGAAUUGCGUAAAUUUUCGGUUUACUUUUUAUUUAUACAUUGGUAAAUUUUCUUUAAUUUUUGUGUUUAGAUGUAAAGAUUGUGUUGAAAAGAAUAGUCGUACCCAAAGAACAAUGGUGAGUUUGUCUUAAAUAUCUUGGAAGAAAAAAAAAGGGGGUUUGGACUUUGGAGGAGUCGUCAAUGGAGAAUGAGUCAAAAGUGUAUGUUACGCGUGAGAAGGUUAUAGGAUUAUUUGCUUCCAUGUCUCCUCAUAAGUUGGGAAUUUCUAUUUAUGAUAAUAAAUUCUUUGAAUUUCUUUGUGUAUGUGUGUCUACGAGACAAGACAAGACAAUAUUCAUAUAGAUUUUUUUAUUCUUUUUAAAAGACAUGGCAAUAUUCAUAGAUUGUAUAUAUUUUAAGUGGCUUAGUGGCAUGCGCUUCUCUUGGGGUAAAAGAGUUUAAGUAUGAGACCUCUCUCUCUCUCUUUAAAUGAUAGGACGAAAAGGAUCCAGAGUGGGCUUCUAGAUCUAUUUAUUUUGUGGCUUACUAUUAUCUUUUAGAAAAAGAUAAAUUGAGCAAAGAAUUCAUUAGUGUAAUGGUUUUGAUCAAUUAAUUCUUCGUAAAAUGUUCUGGAUUCGAGUCAUAGCAUCUAUGUAAUGUGUGUGAGUUUAGUAUGCUAUCACCCCUCUCAAUAAAAAAUGUAUUUUAAAAUAUAUAAAAAAUCAAACCCAACCCCCCAGAAUCGGCGUUGUUGCACUUUCACUACCACCCCCGACCUCCCUUAUUUUUGUAUUGGGGAAUGAUGGACUUGUUGACGUGAGUAUCCUAAUUAAUCAAAGAGAUUUACUUCCUUGAUUAAUUAAGGGAUUUACUUUCCUAUUUUUUAUAUAAGUGAUAAAUCAUUGUACAAUUAGGAGAUACUUUCCUAAUUCUUUGCUAUAUCUAAUUCCUUGUAAAACCUUCAUAUGUAAACUCCUAUUUAUACCUCCUUAUGGAGAAGAAUAAAGAACAACCUAAGAUAUUCAAACCAUAUUCAUAUUUUAGCAUGGUAUUAGAGCAAUCGAUCAUCGGUUGUCUCUAAAUCCUCAUAUCAAAUUUCUUCAAACACAAACCCUAAAUCCUCAUAUCAAACUUCUUCAAACAGAAACCCUAAAAUCAUAUUCCUCAAAUUCCUCAUAUUUCUCCAAAUUCAUAUUUCUCUUUACCAAAUUCAGAUCUCCAUCCACAUCCCUCAUAUCUUCAAAUUCCCAAAAACAUAUUUUUUUUACCUUUAAAAUUCUUCCGCUGCCAUGGAUGUCAUCUCCUCUUCAAACACCACCGACACCAUUCCACCAUCCUCCCAAAUUGUUACUAUCCACAGUGACAACGCUCCUUUCCCAAAUAGCGUCACCUUGCCUGAAACCAAUUAUGCCUUAUGGUCUCAAGUCAUGGAGAUGCGUAUUGCUACUCCAUGCAAGAAUAGAGGCAAAUCACUCGACACAUCUUCUGACUCAGCUCCUGUUAGUCAUGCAGUUCCAAUGGCACCAGCUCCUGCCUCUGCCUCUGUAACCACAACAGGACAUCCUCAGCUAGGGGUGGGUUCGGUCCGGUUCUCACCUCAAAUCGGAACCGAAAUCGGUAUUAUUUAACCGGUCCAGUUCGGUCCGGUUUAGGCAAAAAAAAUUUCAAAAACUAGCCGGUUCGGUUCUAACCAGUUCCGGUCCGGUUCUGACCGGUUCCGGUUUUGAACCGAAUUAUUAAUUUAUUAUUUUUUUAAAUUUUUUUUAAUUUUUUAAAUAAAAAAAUUAUAAUAAAAAACUUAUUUUUUUAGCUUAAAAAUGAACAAAUAAUCCAAUUCAUACAUUUAGAAAUUUUUUGAAGUUGAACUUGAAAAAUUAGUGAUUAUAAAAGUUAAAAAAUGGCAUUAGAUUUUAAAAUUUUGUAAAAAUAUAAAUAUAAAAUAUAUGACCGGUCCGGUUCGGUCCGGUCCGGUGCGGAGAGAUGUAAAACCAGAACCGGAACCGGUUGGAACCGGUUCGGUCCAGUUCCGGUCCGGUUUGUUGACUUUUUUGGUCAACCGGUUUUUUUUUCGAUUUUUUUUCACCGGUUCAGUUCGGUGUUCCGGUUUUCCGGUCCCGAUGCCCACCCCUAUCCUCAGCAGCAAGACGAUUGGUUGUAGUACUAGGAGGGGCAAACUCUACCCAAAAAAAAACGAGUGAAAGAGAUAUGUUUAUUGACGUAUCCCAAGAAGAUGUUGCUUAUUUCUUGACUCUGACGACCCCUUCUCUUCAAGGGGAGAAGGGGAGUGAAGAGAAGUUGUUUUGUCUCUAAACCCUUAUCUCAAAUUUCUCAAAUUUCUUCAAAUUUCUCAUAUUCAAAUCCAAAACCUUAAAUCAAAUUCCUCAUUUUUUUCCCCAAAUAUAAAUCCCUCAAAUCCUCUUAUCCAAUCCCUAAACACAUACCAUCAAAUCUUAUACACAUACCUCUUAAAUCUAAUUCCUACAUCAAAUUUCUCACAUCACCUUCCUCACCUUCUCAUAUCACGUCUUACUUCUGCUGCGAUGUCAAGAACUCAUACGAUUCUCUAUCUUAUUGCAGACUCACAGAAGUAUACGGUCAACCCAGACUCCUUCUUCUAUCACCACCACCAAAGGUUCUACUCUUCAUACGUCCUCCAAGAUCAGAUAUUGCAUAUGCUGUGAGUGUAGAAGAGUAUUUCAUGACUGACUUACCAAGUUGGGCAUUCGUGACAUAUAUGCACCAACUUGAGGAGGAGUGUUGACGUGAGUCUCCUAAUUAAUCAAGGAGAUCUACUUCCUUGAUUAAUUAAGGGAUUUACUUUCGUAUUUUUUAUAUAAGUGAUAAAUCAUUGUACAAUUAGGAGAUAUUUUCCUAAUUCUUUACUAUAUCUAAUUCCUUGUAAAACCUUCAUAUGUAAACUCCUAUAUAUACCUCCUUAUGAAGAAGAAUAAAGAACAACCUAAGAUAUUCAAACCGUAUUCAUAUUUUAGCAGGACUCCCCUGCUCUCCAAGUGUAUACAUUUUCAAAAGGCUAGAGGUCCUAAAGUGCUCUACUACUGGGACGUUAGUUCUAUUGCUUUAUGGUGUUUCGACUAUUGCUACUUUUCAGUCUUUCAUAUUGUUAUGUUUGUUUGUUUGUAGCACUUUGUUGCUUGAGUUCUUUCUCUUAGAGAAGUUUUAGUGUGUUGUAUGUUCUUCCCCUUUAUGUUGCUUGUUGCUGCAACCUUUCUAGCUUUUUAAUGCAAGCAUAUUUUCGAACAAAAAAAGAAAAAGAAAAAGGGGGAACAUGCAUGUACUUUAGCUUUUCAACUCUAUAAUUUAGGUUUUGAUUUCUACUUGAAUUGGCUAAUGAAUUGGAUUUGUGCAAACUUUUUUUGUCAAAAUUCUUUCUGGAUUGCGAUUCCUUUCUGAAUUGGGUGUUGAUUUGGUCAUUUUAUGUGUUUUCUGGGUAUGUGAAUUAUGUUGUUUUACUGUGACAAAUUUUCUGGGUUGGUUUCUACAAGUUAUGGGGUUGUGUUGAUAGAAAAGAAAAAGGAGGUUGUGACAAAGAGAAGACAAUAGAAAGAAAGGAAGAGAUGGGUAGGGCCACCGGUGACCAAUGCAGGUGGCGAGAGGAGGGUGGCAACGGUGGGUGCUGGGUUUGGUUUUUCUUUUUUCUUUUUUUUUUCUUUUUUGAAUUUUGAAUUUUUUUUAUUUUUAUUAUAAGGGCGAAAUUAAAAUUUAGGUUGUUAAAACAAUAUGGUGAUUAUCAUAAAAUACAACAAAAUUUAUAAUUGUUGAUGUGUCAUGUUAUAGGUCAUUAGAUUAUAACGACAACUAAGAUCAAGCGAAUUGCGAGAACAUGAGUAAAUUUUAAAUGCAAGGGCUCAGGAUCCGUCAUUGGGCAUGAUUAGCCAGGUGACAUUAAACCAAGCAUUGACCCUGCUGAUUCUUCUUUAUUUGGCCAAUGAUGCGUGACCCAAAUUCUCAAUUACCUUCGAAAAGGAAGUGUCCUUGUUGAUGGCUUGAUGCAGAAUGCAUAGGACCUAAAUUGAUUAGUUUCCUAGAUUCUCUAGUCUUCCAAAUUCUAGUAGGAUUUUUAUUUUAUUCAGGGUUAGGAUUUUUGUUUUAGCAAGGAAUUUUUAUCCUAUUAUCUCUAGGUUUUAGUUUGCUAUAAAUACCCCAUGUUCUUUAAAAUUCAUAUUUGAAGAUUUGUAGUUCUUUUUUAUAUUCUUUUUUGUUCUAUUGUUUCUAUCCUUUCUUUCGCCUUUUUGAUCCAUAUUUUCUUCUUUGGGUCUUAUAUUCUUCUCUAUUAUCUGUUUAAGUGCUUAAUCUAAUACUUACGAGCUAUACUACAUCAUAGCUGGUUGUAGUACUUGUCGAAGGGAGGGAAUUACUUUGUGACUCAAAAAAAUAAGAAAAAUGCUUAAUUGCUAUAAUGCACCCUAAAACAUUGGUCAAAUCCUACUUUACCACUUUAAAGUCAAAGCACUUCCCCCUUGACCAAGGUUUAAUGUUCCACAAUGCCCCCUGUUAGAAAUAUGCCCUUAAAGCCAACUAAUUAUGUACUAGUUAGAGUUAAGGACAUCUUUGAUAAAAGACAUUAUGUUAUUAAUGGGCAAGAAAUGUUGUUUUAUACAUUAAAUCAUCCUAUAUUAUUUUUCAAUAUGUAGAACAACCAUAGUCCAAGGAAUACACAAGUGGAUAUGAAAGCUAUGUAAUGAGAUUGCAUACAUGGAGACUUCUUAUCAUCCGUAAAUCCUGAAUAUGUUCCUGGUCAUAGUAAUAUUGAUUGGGCAUCAAUAUUCCGCAAAGACCAGUACACACAAUAUCGUCUCUAUAUGUAGGGAAUGACAAAGUCUCAAGUCAUUAAGUGUGGAGAUACAUCAAUAUGUGUGUAGAUGCUUGUAGAAGAACAAGUACGUUGAACGCAAUCCAACACAUAAGUUACAACAUGGAAGUCUUUACUCACAUGUCAAGCUGGAACUCAUAAAUUGCAAUGAUACAAACUAAUUCUUGGACCUGAGGCAUCAUAGAUGUUUUGUGGCUAUGUCGUUAAUCUUUGAGGGCACUAUACGAUCAUGCUGAAUUAGGCAUAGCUUAAAGGUGUUCAUCAGGAUUCUCAAUAGAGUCAUGGAAGCAAACGAAUGUAUAACAAGGAAUCUCUACUCUUAGUAAAGGAGAGAGAAUACUCCAACAUAUGAUUGGUCCAAUCUAUGCGCAAAGUAGUGGAUAAGACUUGAAAGAAGAAGUCUUCAAAUCUUACAAGGAUAGUCAUAUAAAAGGAAUGAUUCAAAUUAGGAUAUUGACAAUCGGAUUCCAUGAUCUAAUAAUGUGAAUAAGGGGUAUUGACAUAAGAGAAGGAUUCAAUUGCAUGGUCAUUCCAAUUUUAAAAGAUUCUUUCACAAUGUCUCAUUUAGCUCGGAUAACCAUGACUUGCUGCUAGCGACAACCAUUGUUUGUGGAUGUCCUAAAAUGUUUCAAUUAACCUUUAUUAAUAGGAAGAAUUUAAUUGUGGAAUUUAAUUCGUAUAUCAUCUAUGAGGAGUUGAGUCAACCCACUACCUUGCUAAAAGGAACCUACGGAUCUGCACAUCUAAAGAAUGUGAUUAGAGGUACAAAUGAGGAGAAAUGAAAUGAGAAGACACAAGGCAAUGGUUGAUUAUCAAAUGUCAAAGUCAACGGUCAAAAAUCAACAUGUUAACCGGAGCAAUUGACCAAAGUCAAAUAGUUCGACAGGGUCAAUUAAGUAAGACUAUAAUUAUAAUUUAAUAGUUAAAUUAUAAUUAAAAGAUUAAUUAUGGAAUUAAUAUUGACAUAUAUAAAUAUUGGAUUAGGCUUUUAAAUAUGAUUUAAAAUGAAAUGGACAAAAUAGUCCAAAAGGCUACUGGGCCCAAGGGAUAAGUGGCAUAAGAUAACAUGCCCCAUGGACCAAAUAGAGCAUCAAAUACCCACCCAAUUGCCUUUUGUGUUGUCCGAUAUAAGUUAAGUGUUGGAGAAAACCUAGCUAGGGUUUUUUGGUUUCCUACUUUGGUUGAUGAGUGAUCAUCUUUGUAUCUCAUCUUCCAUAGACCAAAAAUUGGUCCAAUCAAGAAGUAGACUAGCAACCAUACUUCUUGAUUGCCUUUUCUUCAUCUCUAAGAGCAUUUGGUGUGGUAAGGGUAGGGCUGGCAAUGGGUCGUAUCGUGUCUGGUUCGUGUCGUGUCGGGAUAAUAAAAGUGUCAAGAAUGCUCAAUCCGAACCCAAUCCAUUUAAUAAAUGUGCGUGUGUCGGGUUUGGGUCGUCUUUUAUCGUGCGGGUUUCGAGUCGUGUACCGGGUUUAUAAAUGAUAACAUGCAUGUUACAAAACUCACAACUGAAAAAAUUUAAAUAAAAUAAACGGAGAGAGAAGAGAAAAUAUAAGGAAAAGAAAGAAAGAAAAAAGAUAGAGAGAAGGAAAAGAAGAGAGAGAGAGAGAGAGAGAGAGAGAGAGAGAGAGAGAGAGAGAGAGAGAGAGAGAGAGAGGAGAGAAGUGAGAAGGAAAGGAAAAAAAAAAAAGAGGAGAGAAAACUAAAGAGAAGGAAAAGAAAAAAGAAAAGAGAAAGGAGAAGAUAGACGGAAAAGAAAGAAAAACAAAAGAAGAAAAGAAACAUUAUAAAUAUCAAAAGGCAUAGUAUAUAAUCACAAAGUUGUAUGUAGCAUGAUGGAUAAGGUGUUGAAGAGGAAUGAGGGUGGUGGGGGUUCAAAACCCCCUUGUGUGUGUUUUGAAGUCUCCAUUUCUCUUCAUUUUUUCGCGGGUUGGCGUGUAUUACAUGGGUUGACAUGACCCGUUUGAUAAAUGGGUCUAACGGGUUAAACAUGUAUUUUAAUGGGUUGGCGGGUUGACCCGAAACCCACUCGAUUACCCAAUUAUUAAUCGUGCGGGUUGGGGUCAUGUUUUUUCCUUGUGGGUUUCUAGUCGUGUAACGGGUCAUGUAGGAAAUUGUCACCCCAGGUGAGGUAGAGGACUCCAAUCUUGAAGCCUUGAGGUAAAUAUCUAUUCCCUUUUUCUAUUUAUGUUCAAAGACACUAGGCUAAGAUACUUGGUUUUAAAUGAAAAAUGUUUAGCUCAACUAGUGUAAACAAAAUGCAUCCGCCAUUUAGAAUGUUUUUGUUAUAUAGGUUGUGGCUAAAGUUCAUUUCCUAAGCAUUAGAUGCAUGUUUCCUUCACCCUAUACCGUCAACUCCAUCCAAAAGUUUGUAAGUUUGAUGACGUGGCCUGGUUGUUUUAGUAAUUUUGUGCAUCUAAGUCAUUUACUCACCAAUUUGAGUUGGUGAUGUGGGGAAGUGGAGCCCACCUCUAGCAUGGAUAAAAAAAAUUAAUAAAAAAUUUUAAUUUUUGUUGAAUCAUUAAAAAAAAUAUUAUUUUAGAAACAAUUGAAGGAAAAAAAUUGCUAAUUUUCAAAAAAAAAAAACAAAAAACCUAGAACCCACUGACCCAAAAAUAGACACCAUUUCUUCUCUAGUAUUUCCCCAUUACCCCCCGCGCAGAACCUAGAAACCCUCCCAUCCCCCCACCCCCUCCCUCGAUUUCAUUUAUGCUCCCCCCUGUCCCCAUCGCAACCCACCUAGACCUAUCCUUCUAGCCCCUUACCCGCAUAGCCUAGAGUCGAGUGCAAAAGAAGCCAAAGGAGCUCGUCUUGGCAAUCGAAGGUGAUGAAUUGGACGAGUAGGGUGUUGGUGUCGAGGUACUUGUGGUGGCAGAUGAGAGGGUGAAGGAGGGCGAGGAGGGGUGAGGGGCUUGGAUUAGGGAAUAAGUGUGGGCCUGGGCCCAUUGGAAGAAUGAGAGGGCGCUGGGCUUGUUUGCUAGGGUUUUGAAGCUGAGGAUGGAGAUAAGGAUGAGCUACGUGAGGUAGGGAAUGUAGGGUUUAAGGGGUUGGAGUUGUGGGGUUUUGGCAGCGAUUAAGAAGCUGGUUAUGGUUUGGAGUAGUUGAGGUUGGGUUAAAGCUUUAGUUGGGUUGGCUAUGGAGAUGUGAAAAUUUCAAUUUUGAGAGAGAGAGAGAGAGAGUUUCAAUUUUUAAAAUUUAAAAUUUAUGUUUGUAUUUUAAUUUUUUUAAGGUAAAUAAUGUUUUAUUUUUUUUCAAUCUAUGUUGGAAGUGGGCUUCACUUUGCCACAUCACCCACUUAAAUUGGUGAGUAAAUAACUUAGGUGACUUUGGGUGCCAUUUGUUUGAGAUGGCUCGAAUUUAGGCCCAUCAUCUCUUACCGACUUAACUCGGAGUUCUCCCAACUCACUGUUUAAUUGCCGAUUUAUUCAAUAUAUUAUCGGCUGCCUUUCUUCUAACAGAGAAAAAUCCUUAACGGUUUCUUUCACAGAACCAGACGCCAUGGUGUUCAUCACAUCCCCCAACCACAAAACCCUAACCCUAAAUCUAAACCCGAAGACCACCACCCUCCAAACCCUAAAGCUCCAAAUCGAACAAAAAUCCCAAAUACCCAUCUCAGAGCAGCGCCUAUUCAUCUCCCAAAGCCUCCAAUUACUGACCCAAACCGGCUCCACCCUCCUUUCCGACCUCGGCAUCAGACCCCUCUCAACCCUAACCCUCCACAUCCCCUUGUUCGGCGGCACCCAACCGCCCAACGUCCCCAAGCCCCGCCUCGAGUUCCUCAACUCCAAGCCUCCCCCAAAUUAUGUCGCUGGGCUCGGCCGUGGUGCCACUGGGUUCACCACACGAUCCGAUAUCGGGCCCGCCCGGGCCGCCCCCGACCUGCCCGAUAGGUCGGCCACGACAAUCGGUGGCGCUGCUUCUGCUGCUGCCCCGCCUGGGGUUGGCCGCGGUCGUGGGAAGCCUGAGGAAGAGGAAGAAGAUGAAGGAGAGGAUAAAGGGUAUGAUGAGAAUCAGAAGUUUGAUGAAUUCGAAGGGAAUGAUGUUGGGUUGUUUGCAUCGGCUGAGUACGAUGAUGAGGAUAAGGAGGCUGAUGCGGUUUGGGAAGCUAUUGAUACGAGAAUGGACUCGAGGAGAAAAGACCGGAGAGAAGCUCGGUUGAAAGAAGAGAUUGAGAAAUACAGAGCUUCGAACCCAAAGAUCACGGAGCAGUUUGCAAAUUUGAAGAGAAAGUUGUACACCGUGUCUGCUCAGGAAUGGGAGAGCAUACCCGAAAUUGGAGACUAUUCAUUGAGGAACAAGAAGAAGAGGUUCGAGAGCUUUGUGCCGGUGCCCGAUACGCUUUUAGAGAAGGCGAGACAGGAGAAGGAGCAUGUUACGGCUUUGGACCCCAAGAGUAGGGCAGCUAGUGGUACGGAAACGCCAUGGUCUCAAACUCCGGUUACAGAUUUGACCGCUGUAGGUGAGGGUAGAGGUACUGUGUUGUCAUUGAAAUUAGAUAGGCUUUCUGAUUCUGUUUCUGGGCUGACGGUUGUGGACCCAAAAGGGUACCUUACUGAUCUUAAGAGUAUGAAGAUUACUAGUGAUGCUGAGAUUUCUGAUAUUAAAAAGGCCAGAUUGUUGCUCAAGAGUGUAACACAGACGAAUCCGAAGCACCCACCUGGUUGGAUUGCGGCUGCAAGGCUAGAGGAGGUGGCUGGGAAGAUUCAAGCAGCCAGGCAGUUGAUUCAGAAAGGGUGUGAGGAGUGUCCCAAGAGUGAGGAUGUGUGGUUAGAGGCGUGUAGGCUUGCUAACCCGGAUGAAGCUAAGGCUGUGAUUGCCAAGGGAGUCAAGACGAUACCCAAUUCGGUGAAGUUGUGGAUGCAGGCUGCAAAACUAGAGCAUGACGAUUUGAAUAGGAGCAGAGUGUUGAGGAAAGGGUUGGAACACAUUCCUGAUUCUGUUAGGCUGUGGAAGGCGGUUGUGGAGCUGGCAAAUGAGGAAGAUGCAAGACUUCUGCUUCACAGGGCCGUGGAGUGUUGUCCCUUGCACAUUGAAUUGUGGCUUGCACUUGCAAGAUUGGAAACUUAUGAUAAUGCUAAGAAGGUCCUCAAUAAGGCAAGAGAAAAGCUAUCAAAGGAGCCAGCCAUUUGGAUCACUGCGGCCAAGUUAGAAGAAGCUAACGGGAAUACGUCCAUGGUUGGGAAGAUUAUUGAAAGAGGUAUAAGGGCCUUGCAAAGGGAAGGAUUAGCAAUUGAUAGAGAAGCGUGGAUGAGGGAGGCUGAAGCUGCUGAGCGUGCAGGGUCUGUUGCAACUUGCCAAGCAAUCAUUCGGAACACAAUUGGGAUUGGUGUGGAGGAGGAGGAUAGAAAGCGCACAUGGGUUGCUGAUGCAGAGGAAUGCAAGAAAAGGGGUUCGAUUGAGACAGCCAGAGCUAUUUAUGCUCACGCACUUACUGUGUUCUUAACCAAGAAGAGCAUAUGGCUCAAAGCAGCACAACUUGAAAAGAGCCAUGGGACUCGGGAAUCUCUUGAUGCUUUGCUUCGUAAAGCAGUGACAUAUCGACCACAAGCUGAAGUCUUGUGGCUUAUGGGAGCUAAGGAGAAGUGGCUUGCUGGGGAUGUGCCUGCUGCCCGUGCCAUCCUCCAAGAAGCUUAUGCUGCUAUACCCAAUUCUGAAGAAAUUUGGCUUGCUGCAUUUAAACUUGAAUUUGAGAACCAUGAACCUGAGAGAGCUAGAAUGCUUCUUGCCAAAGCCCGAGAAAGGGGAGGCACAGAAAAAGUUUGGAUGAAAUCAGCAAUUGUUGAGAGAGAGUUAGGGAACCUUGAUGAGGAGAGGAAGUUACUUGACGAGGGAUUGAAGCGGUAUGCUAGCUUCUUUAAAUUGUGGUUGAUGCUUGGACAACUAGAGGAACGGCUUGGUCAUUUGGAAAAAGCCAAGGAGGCUUAUGACUCAGGUCUGAAGCACUGCUCCAAUUCUAUUCCACUCUGGCUUUCUCGUGCUAAUCUGGAAGAGAAGAUGGUUGGGCUGAGUAAAGCUCGUGCAGUUCUCACGAUGGGCAGGAAGAAGAAUCCUCAGAAUCCUGAAUUGUGGCUUGCUGCUGUUCGAGCUGAAUUGAGGCAUGGCAAUAAGAAGGAAGCUGAUAUCUUGAUGGCAAAGGCUUUGCAGGAGUGUCCCAAUAGUGGUAUCUUGUGGGCUGCAUCUAUUGAGAUGGUACCCCGUCCCCAACGGAAGACCAAGAGUAUGGAUGCCCUCAAGAAAUGUGAUCAUGAUCCCCAUGUCAUUGCUGCUGUGGCAAAGUUAUUUUGGCAUGAUAGGAAGGUUGACAAAGCUAGGAAUUGGCUAAACAGGGCAGUGACACUUGCUCCAGAUAUUGGGGAUUUCUGGGCUUUAUACUACAAAUUUGAACUUCAACAUGGGACUGAGGAGAACCAAAAGGAUGUACUGAAAAGGUGCGAAGCUGCAGAACCAAAGCAUGGUGAAAAAUGGCAACCUAUUUCAAAGGCUGUGGAGAACUCUCACCAAUCGUUUGAAGCUAUCUUGAAGAAAGUGGUGGUUGCUCUUGGGAAGGAAGAGAGUGCAGCCGAAAAUAAUAAACACUAGUUCUGGCUUGUUUUUUCCAGGUUAUGUUGGAAAACGUUGUAGUACAGAAAGAAAAUCGAUGUCUAGUGUCACUUGUCAUCCGGUUGGCAAACGUUGCUAUAAUUUUAGCUUUGCUCAUUUGAUAUAUUUCCUUGCUGAUGAAGUAUGGCUUAAUUGAUUGUUCGAAUUACGAUGGUAUGUCUUGACAUAUAAAUUUUCAUCUGUGUUCUUGUGCGUUUUCCUUUUGGAUUUUACACACUCCCUUGUAGAUUAGUUUGAUUCAUAUCUGACUGCAUUUAGUUAUGACAAUUGCCCUUCUUUAUGAUUUCCCUUCUGCGAUUUUCUGCAGUUCCGCUAUUUGGUCAUCUAUCUUUAAGCAUCCUCUGAGCAUAGAAACAGCUUAUUGCUUGCCUGCUUGGACUUGAACACUAUGUUACUGUGCCUUAUUCUUUUAUCCUAAGAUGCAACGGUUACUUCUCGAUUUCCUACUUGAGUUUUGUAUGUGAAUUGACAAAAUUAUUUAUGUGAAUGUUUUUCUCAUAUUGCUCGACCCUGAAUUCAGCAGUAAAAUUGAUGGCAACAUAUAGUUUUCAUUUUUUCCUUUUUAAGACUACUGUCAUGUGAGGCUCUGUAAUCUAUGGUUAUGGAAACAAAAUGUUGACAUGUCAAUGAACUGGGCUUCUUCAAUUUAAAGGGGGAAAUAAGACUGUAUUUGGCUUACUCUUUGUUACAUAACCAUCCAAGUCUAUUACUUUUCUGUCAUAUUAUAUGCAUUUCCUUUUAUAUCCUGUCAUUUUUCUGCCUGGUUUGUGGUUUCAGUUUAUGGUAGGGGAUUCCUAGGUGAUAGGGAUUUCUCUAAAAUUUAGGCCCAAGGGUUCAUAGAGAUAGGAGAGAUUAAGGAAGGGGGAACUAGGGCAUUUGGUUGUGUAUUCUUUUAAUUUGUGUUCAAUUGUCAGGGAUUAGGUUUUAUAUGUAGUAGUUUGAUCCAUCAUUUAAUGGCCACUGAAAACAUUGGUGUGGUUAUGCAUUUUCUGGUCCACAGAAUAUAUUUGAAUCAACUCUCAGCUUAUUGAGCUGUGGGCUUUUAUUGGAUUCGUUUUUAUCAACAAGCUCUUGAACUGAUAGGAUUCUCCGUGAUCUUUCCUUCCAAGAACAAAGACAGUCUUAUAAGCUAAUUUAGUCUGGUAAGCUGGCUUGUAUUUUGUUGGGAAAUGUGCGGGUGCUUUCUGUUGGCUUAUGUUAAAUGCAGUUUGUUGUAUUAUGUCCUUUGUCCUUUCUUUGUUUAUGCUUGUAGAAGGGGUUGCCUCGGUGGUCCGGUUGUCUUUGUAAUCUAGGCUCAAUCUCAGAGUCACUAAAUUUUGUAUCCUUGCAUGCAUCUGGUGGUGCAUUGCUACAGUCAAGAUUGACAAUACUAGGGUACAUGGUCGUGCCCUUAAUGUUCAUGUACUGGGCAUUCAAAAUCGAAACUUUCUAUGUCUUUCGGCAACCCUUUAAAAGGUGAUGGGCAAAAUAAUGUCCUCAGAAACCAAAGUAGAGAGGGUGUGUGAAAACCAAGCCAACUCUCGAUCCUAAACCGAGGGCAUUCUCGCAUCUCGCAGGUCAUCUUCUCGACGUUGGUUACGGAGUCACCAUUUGCUGGUGGUGACACAGUUAUCGACUUCAUUUCUGAAGACUGCACUGUUGCUUCAACCUCAAUGUCUGGGAAAUUCAAGUGGACCAACUAUAUAUUUUCCUUUUGGUAUCACAAUGGUUUGUUCUGCCUUGUAGAAAAGCCUAAACCAGCCAUCACCUACAGAGUCACAGUAUGUAACGCGGGCUCCAACCAAGGGCAUCGAUCCAGUGACAUUAUAAAGUUCAUCCAUCCGAUCCCAUUAAGUCAUACCAACAAUAGAAGAAUAAGAUAAUUAGCUCGCCCCCAAGUGGAAACAUAAUUAAUUAACAUAAUUUAAGGAUUUUACGGGCCAAUUAGUGCCUAAGCGAAGGCUAGCAGCACCAAAAAGUAGAAACACUGACCUUCAAGCUUAGAAAUGGAGAAAUGUUUGUAACGGUAAACGUCACGUGGUAUGCCGAUGUGGUAUUAUGAAUUCUGUGUACGUUCCAACAAGAUGAAAGACACAUGGAAACUCAUAUUCUAACAAUGAGAACAUUCAAAAUCUAGAAACUUUAUAAGACGAAAGAGAACGGAGAACGAAUUAGUUGUUGAACUUGCUAGAAUUGAUAAUCAAUGAUGCAUCCAUAGAUGCAAAUCUAGAGAAUUGAUGGAGCAUGAUGUAGCAUAGACCUAACCAUGUUGCAUAACCCAGUUCAAACUAGCACCAUUGUUGAGCCAUUAAAUGUAGUCUAUUUUUCAGAGUCAAAAUCUCUUUCUUUUCUUCUCUUUCCUGUUUCUUUAAAAGAAUAAUUGCUAUAUAUUGCUCGUUGCUUAUCUUUGCUUCCAGUACAUAAAUGUAAUGAAUCAAGUCUAAUGAAAUUAAGUUUUAUCUUAUGAUUGUGUCACUGUUUUUUUAAACAUUGCUUCUUGUACUGAACUAUGGGAUUUUUUUUUUAAUAAUUUUUUUUCUAGAUUAGUGUUGAAGUACAGUGCUGAAGUCUGUUUGUGGUUUUGGACAGAGGACCAUUUGAGGUAAGAACCUCUUCUUCUCAUUACACUUAGUUCCAUUUUGUUUUCUUAUUAACAGCUAUAGUGGUUGUCAAUGUCAUUGUGGUGUUGUUUGUUUAAAGUUAUUAAAAUGGCAUACAUGUUUUGUAUUGUGUUGAGAAGUUAUGCAACCCAUGUUGGUUAAGCUGUGGAUUAUACUUUGGAUUUUAUGAUUUAUGUUCUCUAAUGGGUUUGUGCUAUGCAUGAUAUUAGUCUUUACAUUGAUUUUUCGGAAUUGUUUUCCUUAUUAAUUUGUGGUAUUUGUUAUUAUCACAAAGGUAUCCUUUAGACAGUUAAUAUUGAGAGGUAUGAAAAAUGAAUUCAAUUUUUAUUAAGUUUGUUCAAAUAUCAUUCUCGAACAUUCUUAAAUAUUGAUGACCAGUAAUCAUUUUUCUUUUGUAGAUCCACUCUUUUUAACGGCUUAUUUAGUUAAGAUUGUGAAUUUCAGCUUUUGGGCAAGAUUUCUUGUAAUUAUGUUGUCGAAAAUUGUUUGUUUUUGGUCUCUUAAGUAUAUUUUUAUAUUUAAAUUUUCUUGGUUUUGGCUUCUUCUUGACCAUUGGCAUUUCCUUGUUUUGUUUCUUUUGAAAAGGAGGAUGAUUGAUGAGUUUGAGAAGAUCAAGCAACAAUUGGCAUUGUUUGGGAAUUCCACGAUAUUAGAUCACAGUCCCUAUCCCACAGGUGUUAAAGAUCAUGACUACCAAACUCAGAAUUACAAAAGGCAUAGUAUACAUGCAUUUUUUUUUAGUCGAAACCUAGUCUUAGAGUGGGGAAAUAAUUAUUGCAGAACUUGGGUUUUCCAAGGGCAAGAAUAUAUGGAGCUUGGCCUCCAAUCUUUGAGUAGGGAGUUCUUCACUCGUUUAUGUAUACUAAUUUUGGAUAUGUUAUGUGUACCUAAAUAACUAGUAUGCUCUUGUGUACUUUUCAAUGAGAGAAACUUUUAUUCAUAUCAUUUUCUAUUGAUCUAUUGAUCUGUUUAUUUAAAUUUAUUGUUUUUUGAAAUUACAAUAUGUUAAGGAACAAAAGGUUAAUAUUAUCACAAAACAGAACAUAAAUAAAAUAAUUAAUAACACCUACAAUAUAAAUAUUUUAGCGACCAAAUAAGUAAGCUUUAGCGACCAAAUCCGGUAGUCAUCAGUACCUAUUGGCGACAAACAAAUCUAUUUGGUCACCGAAUCCUUCCUCAGUUCGCAGUAAAUUUUGGUAUUUUUGCAGGAAGCAAUCUUUAUAGGCGACCAACUGAUUACUGUAAGGUGACGAAAUCAAUUGGUCGCGUAAAGGUUUUGACGACGAAAAUUAGUUUUCGUCGCCCUUUGUCAUCUGGUACUUUCAACCACAAGCCUUAGGCGACAAAGCUAGUGACGAAAUUAUUUCGUCGCUAAAGGGUUUUGGCGACAAAAUGUCAGCUUUUAGCUACCAAAGGUAGUGGUCGCCAAAAGGGGUUUUCCUUGUAGUGUAGCUACAAGGGAGUUCAAAGAUGUUUCCAUAACAAACCUUUGAAUCUCUUCAGUAACUUGGAACACAAUAUAAUCUGAAAUUACCAGGGCCGGUCCUGACUUUUGGGUGGUCCUAAGUGAUAAAUUAAGAUAUAUUUAGUCAUAUAUCCAUUCUUAGCACUAAAACUGUAAAUAAACCCUACACUAUUUAAUUUCUACAUACAAACCCAAAAAAUAACAAUUGGCCAUAUUGAAUUUAAUUUUGAUUAUUAAAUUACUUUGAUGUCCUAUUGAGUGUUUUGGGCUUUUUUAUGAGGUUUUUGGGUUGGGUUUAUUUUAAGAAAUCAUGGCAGUUUUGUAAUUUAAAAGAAGUUAUAAGCCUUUUUAUUAUGUUGUAAAUAAGUUUUGGGUGUGUUUCUAAAGUCCAUUUCAUAUAGGGUUUGUUUUAUAAUUUGGGCUCCUAUAUUGAGUAUAAUAGUGAAUCUCCCAUAAAUUAAUAAUGGGGCCCCUUCUUUAGUAUACAAUAAAGCUUGAUACGAAAGGAAAAAGAAAGUGUUCGUUCAUUCUUUUUGGUUUAAACAUAAUAAUUUCAUUCUAACAAAACAAAAGUACAUGAAUCAUAAAAAAUAAAAAUUAUAUUUAGGUCCAUACAUAGUUAGAUAGCUUCUAACAUUCAACAAAACAACCUAUUCUUUGACAGUAAGUUCUCAAGUAGUCUCUUUUUUGGGCCCAAAGGUGUUCAUUAACCCAAUAAAGAGAAUCAACAAACCACCUAACAAAAGAUAAAGGCCAACCCCAACAACAAUCUGAGAAAGGAAAAGCAAGAACAAAACUCAACAGAGACCAGCAUAUAAGGUUUAGGGUGGGAAAAAAUAGUUUGUUGGAUAGGGAAAAAUAUAAAGAAAAAUUCAUAAAUCUGAUUACCUUUUCAAAUUCCCAUGCUCAUCUCCUCUUGGUCACCAUCAAUCUCAAAGACAAAGAUCAAAAAAGAAAAAUUGUGAGCUUUUCAGUGAGAGAUCGAUUCUUUUAGGGUUACGAUAUGAGAAAAGAGGUAUAAGAUAAACUGAAAAUAAUAGGAGAGAGAUUGGGAGAACAUAGAAUAAUAUGGUGGAUUAAAUAGAGAGCAUGUUCCAUGGAGAAACUAGGAGUAGGAGAACCAAAGUCUUUUGGAAAGAGGAGAGCGUAGGGAAGAGAAAGUUUGUUUCUUUAUGGGCACAUGCUCCUUAUCGUUGUAUAUGUGGAAGUUGUACCCCCUUCUACUAUAUGAAUGCAUUUAGUUCAUGGAAAAUGAGACUUAAGUAUGGGAAAUGAGGCUUGGGGAUGGAAAAUUAAUUGUUUUCCCAUGUUUGGUAAGUCUAGGCAUGAGAAAUGGCUACUAGGCACAUGGAAAAAUUUGGGGGAAAAUGUCCUUCCCCCCGGGUUUCAUUUUCCUUUCACAUGGGAAACUUUGGGAAAAUGGGCCAGUAUUAAAUGCACAUUUUUCAUGAUCAUUUUGUCCCUAUCAACAAUAUCUCAUGUAAUGUAUUAUUUUUUUAUUUGAUUUAAUAUCGGUAUAAUUGAAAAUUUAUACACACUUUGUUUUCCAUUCCUACUCAAAACAAACAUGUGAAAGGAAAUAAAGUGAUAUCUCCGGUUACUUUCCCAUCAUUACCAACCAUGGAAAAUGAAUCUUCCAUUUCCCAUGCCUUGGGAAAUGAUAUAAGAAGUGAUAUCUCCUCAAAUCCGUUCCGUAAACCAAACGGGGCCUAUAUGUAACAAUUGUGCAAGAUGCCCUACAAAAACCACAACAACAUGCCCACCAACCUAAAUGAAAAAAAUAACUGAGUGAUAUGUACAAAGAUUAAUAGUAUAACCAAACAUGUAAAAUUUAAUACCAAUUGUUUGUGCAAAUAUUCUCACGGGAGAAUAUCUGAGUGAUAUGUACAAAGAUUAAUAUAGUAUAACCAAACAUCUAAAAUUUAAUACCAAUUGUUUGUGCAAAUAUUCUCACGGGAGAAUAUCCGCUUCUAGAUCCUUCGCACUUUGAACUUCUUUCUCUCUUUUCUUCGGUUCCUGUAAAAAAGACCUGAGUAAAUAGACCACACUCGAGGGGUGUUGACCAAAGGCCCUCCGAUGCCUAAGUUAGUUCGAUUGUAUCUAGGUGAAACAAUAGCUAAAAAAUUGUACGAAGUUUUCUCUGUGGUGAGAACCGGGUGGCUGGAGCCAUGUGGAGAAACAAAUAUGGAGGAGUCGUCGGCUAGAGAGAGAGAGGGGCAGAGAUUUUGGGGUAUUUUUAUAGGGUUUCAGAACUAGGUUUAGAGUUAACUUGAGUGUUGAAUAAAGCCAUGUAUUUAUGGGGCUCUAGGCAUCUAGGGCUUUUCAAAGAAUAAACUCUUAUUUGGAAGGAGUUUAUUCUUUCCCCAAAUUGUAGAGAUUGAGUCCAUAAGGAUUUGAUUGGGAUCAAAUCUCCUAAUUUGAUGAUGAUAUCUCCAAAUUAAGAUAAUAUCUUAAUUGGUAAUAUUAUCUUUUUAAAUAAUGAUAAUAUCCCUGUUUUUAGUAUCAAUUAAUUGCCAAAUAAAUGAGUUUAAUUAAUUGACCCAUGAGAUAUUCUUCUUGUCCAUGUGACUUCUCGUGAUUGGAAGCCAAAUCAUUUGCUCCCACAAAUGUUGGACCUUUUGCAUGGCGCUUGUGUGGCAUGUAGGAAAUGAAAUUAUUCUUUGAGCUUUCCAAUUGUAUCUUGAUGUUCUUCUUUAAAUUGGACUCCUUUUGCAAAUUGGGUUCCCAAUUAAAGUGGGCUUUUGACUUUCCUUGGAGUUAGGCUCCCAAUAGAAAUAGGCUUGUGUUUUCUUCUUGACUUAGGAUGCCCAACCUUCAUAAAUACAAGACUCCUCCUCACUUUCCUUCAAAUCGCGAACUUGUCUUCUCUACUUUCUAGCUUGAGAGAGAUCUUGGGGAAUUUGUACUGCUUGUCGAAGAGAGGAGUUGCCGUGCAUCUCAAGGUAAGUGAAGCAUGUGUAUUUUUUUCUUCGUUUUUUCUCCUUUGCGGCGAGGACUGGUCCGAUGGGUUCUGCCAAUUGUCGUCUUGACAUCGCUAUCGAGGACCAACGGUAGGAUGGAAUAGAUAGGCAAAUUGACAGUCGCGCGGCUGGAUAGACUAGAUAGGCGAAUUGAUAGUCGCCCAACUGCUGCUGCCGCUGCUUGCAGUGUUGGAGGCUCCGCUGCUUUUUCCGCUUCAUGUGUCGUGAGCUAGCUACUAGAUUGUGACUCUUGCUGCGAUUCAGUAGUUGGGUUGCGUCGCGCGUCUUGCUACGGGCUCUGGUGGCAGUAGGCCACUGCUACUACCUUGGCGAUUGUUGGUUGCAGCGGCGGUCUUUUUUUCUUUAGCGAUGGGGCUCGCUGCAACUUGGGCCUUUUGCUCGAGCUGCUCCGUGGCUUGCCUUGCAACUCAUGCUUCUUCUUUUUCUUUUUGAACCUCAAUUCUAGAGUUUUGACAUGCUAUAUGAAUUACAAUUUUCUUCCCUUUUUGGAGUUGUUUAUUGAUCAUGUCUUUAGAGGAUGGUAGCUGAGCACCAAGCUCUCAUGUGCCUUAGUAUCUGUAGGGAGGCUCCAAAGUGCAUAAGAGGAGAUUUGUGACUAAUCUCCACCUCGUUACGUCUGAAGCUCAGUUCUAGAAGUGGCCACUUAUGCUUCUGCCAUUCCUGAUUACGUGCAUGUUAGGAUGGUGGAGUCUUUCACUGAUGAUGCGCCUUGUGUAGAUGCGAAUGAUCCAGACGCUAGAAUCAUCACCUUCCGUCCCUUUUAUUUUUCCUUGGGCUUCAUGUUCCCGUUGUCAAAUUCUUCAGGGUGGUGUUUUGCACCAUGGAGUGUGCUUGAAGUCAGUGUACUCCAAACGUCUACCAAGCCAUCAUGUGCUUUGAGAAUUUAAGCCGUUUCUUCAAGCUGGAGCUGACGGUGUUGGAGUUUUUCUACUUCUUCAAAAUGGGGCGAUACAAGAAGUAUGCUCAAGUCCGUGUAUGCAAAGUCAAGUUGUUUGACAAUUUCUUUAGAGUUUGAGUAUUUAGGUUUGAUUUUGUUAUGAAAAAUUUGUUGAUUCUCAAAAUAAAGAAAAACACAUAUGUAGCUCAGAAAAUAACCAAACAAACACAAUUCAAGAGAGAAACCCCUAAAUUGCAGUGAAUAGUAACUUCUGUCUUGAACAGUGUUUUAGGGAUUUUUUUUGUCCAUUUUUGAAGCAAAAUACAUUUCUAAAUAGGGAAUGACCUAAUUAACACAACUCACUACUUUGCUGUGACAUAUGAGAAUUUUUAAGGUUUUAAUGUCAUUUUGGUAGGUCAAAAACGUGUUUAAAGUUUUGAAGAUAUGAAAAAUCAAAUUAAAAUAUGUUUUUCCAUAUUCUUUAAUAUUCUUGAUAUUUAGAAGAAAAAAAACAUGUUUAAUCCAUCUUCAAAUUUUAAACAUAACCAUAAACUCAUCAUGGCAUAAACAGAUAAGAAAUCGUAAUAGGUAUGGUUGAAAAACGAUUUCAAUGUGUGCGAAUAACUAGGUGCUCUGAUACCAUUGUUAGAAUUCUUUAUAUGCAUGUUCAAGAUCUUCCACACAAUCUGAAAUACGUAAAGACAUACCUGGCCCAAUAUUCCUUGAGUACACGACCUCUGAACUCAUUCAACCGUAGCAACAACAGUACUUCUGCUCUCUCUCAGAAUCUGGUUAAGCUCUUUCUUUAUGAUGAGAUUAGGGUUAGAGAACGUGUCUAACGAGAGCAGGGUCUUAAGCUUAUAUAGGGGUAGGUCAAGUCGUCUCUACUCAUCACCAAUGGCCGACUUGACUAAUCUUCCAAGCCCACCAAGCAAUGGUUCACGGAAAAAAAAGAAAUAAAUAGGACCCCUUAAUAGGCUUCAAAACCUUUCCUUAUUCCACAAGGUUUUGGGCCUUCAGGUAUAACCUAAUUUAAACUUUUAUCAAAAUAUGAUAUAACUUAAUAUCUACUGCACCGAUCUAAAUAGGAAACAUAACAUUUGCGUCUCUCGAAUGACGCUUCUUGUGGGUUGCAUAUCCCGAAGUACCCUUAGGAAACUGAUAAGAUGUACUUAACAUUAAUUAUCGUAUAAUUAGUUGACUUUAAGGACAUAUUACUAACAUUUGUCACAUAGUCAUUUAGCAGUUUGACUAAUAGUCUAGCUAACUACGGGAUGAAUUUGUAUGUUUUUUGUGAUAUUGUUCACCCGUUUUCGUGUUUACUCCUGAGGUGGAAGGGCGAAGUUCUCCACUGGCUUGAAGACCAUUUGUUGGUCGAUAAGUCAGCUUUCUUUGGUGUGUGAGCGUGCCACUGCUAGCGAUGUAAAUUCUAGCAGACUUCUUUUAGAGUGGAUAACUUGCGCCCCAAGUUACUAACUUCUAAAACAGAUGAUUGUGAAUUUGGGUGAGGAAUAUCUCCCAAGUAAGUUCUUUUCUUGCCUCAGACUGGUGAGGACUUUCAUAAUUUAUCUCAGUAUCAAACAGCUGUUCUGGCCAGAAAAAUUUGAUAGAAGUUGGGCUUUUUUAGGUAGAACUGCCUUUUACAAAACAAUAAAUAUGCAUAUCGACGCUAGGAAGGUUAAAAGACGGCCGGAACUCCGUUUCUGCUUGGAUGGAAGGCUCUGGCUUGGGCUGGACUGGACACACCUAGGUCGGUCCAUACUGCUUCGUGACUUCAAAUGCUAGGUUGAGCUAUAAAUCGAUACCAAAGUUCGAUUUUGGCAGAGCUUUAUGUUUACUUCACUCUUCGUGAGGCCUUUUAGUAGGCAGAACUGCAGCUUCUUCAGUUUGAAGAGGCAGAAGUGGCUGUUCUCGAAGGCUUGGUGGGCUAGGGAUUGCACUACGAGCGUUGUUCUGCUUGAGCAGGACUUUUCAUAAGUUCGCUGAGGUCUCCACGUUUGUGAAGAUUCAAAUUCUGCUUGCCUUGGCUUUUGCUGAACCAAAUUUGUAACGAGAGAGAUCUCGUUUUUAGAAGACUUAUUUUCUAAGUCUGAACUUUGGAAUUCUGAUCUAAAGCUGGUUUCUCUUGGAAUCCAAGUGAGCUUUUGGUUGUUUUCUUGUUGUUUGUUUUUUUAUUUAUUGAUGAAUUGAGUGUCCUUUCCUUCCUUGCCUACUUCUGCUUUUAUAAGAGACCCUCUUGGGGAGGUGGUUUCUUUUUAAUUUUAAUAAUGGGCGGUAAAAAGAUCUCCUAUAAUGUAAAGUAAAAGGGAUUUUUAUCAAUCAUGGCAGAUAGGCUCUCAGUAGUCACCUCCUAAAGUAGUCCCUUCCCUGGUUUCCUGGGUGACAGAUUUUUAUUUCAACCAAUGCCACCAUCUGUGUGGGCUAAAUUUUAUGGCGGUUGGUUUUCUUUUUGUAUUUUCUGAACAACUCUCUGUUUCCCGUUCUAACUUUAGAAAGUGUGAUCCGUGAAUUCCUCGGAAGAUGGUGUAUUGCUCUGGAGCAAAAUCUCCGAACACAUAUGGGUUUUGGUCUUCUGUUGGCAGUGCUUCAGAGAUGUCCCUCUCAUAUUUUAUUUUAGUUGGAAUUGCUGACUUUUCAAAACUGAGGUAGUCACGUGGGUAUGUUUUUAAUCCCUUGGGUUUGAACCCAACAAAAAUUACGGGCUGAUCCUUGAAGCCCAAAUGACAGUUUGGUCUUUCUUGGGCUGAGGGCUUUGUUUUCGACAUCCUGGCGUGAAGCCCAAUCUGUCUGGAUCCUAAUUUUGUUAUCCUCAAGUUUUUUGGGCUGGGCAGGUAAUUUUACCAUGGGCUUGUCUUUUGAACUUUGGCGUGCUAGAUUUAGGCCCAAACAGAUAUAAAUUUUUUUUUUUUUGGCAAGAUUUUAAAGCUCGGGUACUAACUUGAAAUGACCUCUAAAGUUUGAGUAGUUUUAUGUAGUUAACCCUUUAAUUUAUUUAGCCAAAUUAUGGACACACUAAAGACUAUUAUCUGAAUUUUUUAGAUUUUUAGAAUAUUAACCACUCGAGUGACAAUAUUCUAAAUCUUGAGAAAGAAAAAUUGGCCAAAAGUCCUUAAUUGAGAAAUUAUAGAAUACUACAGUAAUAUGACCACGUGGUAAAUCUUGUACACAUGUUAUAAUAUGGUUGAACGAAAGGGUUUAUUUUCCCCUUUUUAAGGAAUAGUAUCAAUAAAUAUCGACGUAUAUUAUAACAUGUGCACAAUAUGUACCACAUGACAGUAUUAAACACUCUCCUUAAUGUGUUAGAAAAGGUUACUUUUCCAAAUUUCUCUUGGAUAUUUGUGUUUAUUGACUUAUUAAGCAAUUAAGUUGCUUUCACGCUACUAUAUUUUGUAUUACAUAUUGGUGGAUUCUAUUAUGUAGUCAAAGGUUCAACAUUUGACCCUCGACCCAAAAAAAAAAUUAAAACCUUCUUUUAAAAAACUGCCAAAGCAAAGGAGGAAAAUCCAGUAGAGGAGAAAAAGUACCACAACACGAAACAACAAAAACAAAAACCUACUCCCCCCACCCGCCCUCUAUCUGACUCAAGUACAUCCAAAAGCCAAACUAGUGCUCAAUCCUCCGAUAUGAACCAGGUGUGCUCCUUAAGACCAAAUUGAGCCAAAGAAUGAGCCACCCUAUUUCCUUGGCUAGGUUGAUAGUGCACCUCUACAACACUCAAUCGUUCCAUCAAAAGCCGAACAUCUUAAACAAAGUUACCAAUAUUAGUCCAUAAUACCUCAAUGUCAUUUAAGUAACUAAUAGCUUCCUGCGAAUCAAUAAUAAGAUUGUGAAAACUUUUCGCAUAAAGCAAUAGUAGGCCCUCCCACAACGCUGUUAAUUCAAUUUCCAAAAUGCCCAAACUCACCGGACCCCAAAAUUUUCGACUUGCCUUACAGCACCAAAUUGCAUGUACCGCAUCUCCACCCCUCUUCCCACAAUGUAAGCACAAGAAGGAAGGAAGCACCUUUCACUGGACCAACUGCACACCAGUAGGUAAAAUAUCAGAAUCAUCUCUCCAAAGGAACAACUUAAUCUUGUUUGGGAUCUCCAAUUGCCACAAUUUUUUCCAAGAAACCUUGUGCUCUUAAUUUUCAGUUCCAUCACAUUGUUGAAUUAAUUUUCAGAUGAAACCAAUGGCUGAUAAUAUCAAUUUUCUUCCCAAAGAGUUUGGAGACAUAUUGUAGCCAACUAACCUUAAAUUUUAUACACACAAUACAAAUGACCUAAUCCAAUUCCAAACUUUGGUUGCUCUAAUCUAAUCAGCAUCCAAAGCAAAACUAAUCUUGAUUAAUUUACAACAUAAUCAUCAUUAUCUUGUAGCAGCCACAGCCUGACAUAAUUAAAAUACUGGGUUUGGUUUCAAAGAAAGGGUUUGUUUAUUCAGCCAUGUCUGCCUCACCACCAAUACAUGAGAUAUUUUCAAAUUCAUUAAUUAAUUAAUUAAUUAUUUCAACAAUGUCAAUGGAAAUCAUUAAUUAAUCAACCACAUGAUUUCUAAUUUUAUCAUGCCGUCACUAGUUCAUCGUUAUCGUGCCGUCACAAAUAAGAAAUUUGAUUGAUCUCAUGGGACGGCGACUGGUCCCACCUUUCCCCAUCAUUCUGUCAAUCACUCAUCGAUCACCAACAAUAAAUGUCGAAAGUGUUCGUUUUCUUUUUUCUUGGUUGAAUUUUUGUAAAUCUUUUUUAGAACUAAAUGAGUUCGAAUGCUUUUUUUCUUCACAUGAAAAUGCGCGAAACCAAACUGUGCAGGUGAUUGAUUGGAUGAGCGGCAUGCAGCUGCUGGAAUUUCCCUUUGUAAUCAUUGUGCGUGCAGGAAACUUCAAACAUUAGGCGAAUUCUAAUAAGCCCAUCAUUCUUUUGAAAUUUUUUUAUAGUAGAUCUAGUAUUUAUUUGAGUGUAUGUAAUACUUUUUGUGGUGUAUAUAGAGGCCCUUCUUACUUGGUUGAUGGUUUUUUUAUAUUUAAUUAAAGAAGGUCAUGAUUUUAAAUCUCAUAGACGACAGUUUUUGAAUAAAGAAAACGAAUAGUUCAUUUCUAAAAAAUGAAAUGUUUUGUUUUUUUUUUCGCCAAUAGUUCAUUCGUAAUGAAAUUUAAGAGAAUUAAUGAAUCCAAAAAUGGUGAGAUAAGUGACAACUACUUAGAUGGAAUUUAUAAUUUCAAAAUUCCAAGUAUUUUUUUCGGGUUACUUUAUGUUUUCACAAAAAGUUCAAAAGUUUUGGAAAUUCUAUGUUUCGAAUUGUUUCACAAAACCCCUUCGAUUAAUUUUCUGCCUACAAAUUAUUGAUGUCAUAAAACAAAAUUUUCUCAAAAUAAGUUAACCUCUAAGAUGUUCUACCUUAUCACAACUUGCCCUAAUACGAUAUGAGGAAAUAUUGUUCCCCGUUAAUGAGGAAAUGUUACUUGGUGCCGUGCUUGUUGAUGAGCAUUUAAUAAUUAAAUUAAUUUUGAUUCAAAUUCUUGAAAUGAUAAAGAUUUCAUAGAAAAUUAUCUUUAUUCUCAUUCUCGUUUCAGAUAAUUAGUAAAUAUUUUAGUGAGUAUUCCUCAUUCCAAUCCUUUCACAUUUUGAUUCUGUUCUCUAUUGGUCGUACAAAACAUGGCAUAAAUGAGAAAUUAUACUUAGUAGAAGUACAAGUUUAUUUAAUCCGAAAAGGUUCCCUCAAGUUAUUAAGGCCUAAUGUUAACAUAGUUUACAUAAAUAUUUCUGAGGAACUGUCAUUGUCAUUGAUCUUCAACCUAGAAGUUCAAUGCACAUGCAUGAUACUGUUAACAGAAAUGCUUAAACAAAUUUCUGAACCAGAUUCUGAAUAGCAAGAAAUUCAUCCAUCAAAACAAAAAGAAAAAGAAAAAUCAUGAGUAAGCAAUAGAAACUGAAGGCUCACAAAUGAUAAUGCAUAGUGUUCCAUUAAAUACAGCUACAAUCAAUAAAAGCAUACAUAAUAACACAAUAGAUGAUCAAGUCCAAAAUGUACAAGUCCUACAAUCGGCAUUUCCAUCCCGGGAGCUGAAAAACGAGAGCUCGUGAUGGUCGGAGCAUUUGAGAAGGAGAUCACAAAACCGUCUCCCUCUCGGGUGGUCCAGCCUACCUACACAUAUGCUAUAUACCCUACAGACAUUAUAAUACUACCCACUAGCAACACAAAGCAUGAAACAGAUUGCCACUGCUGAAAGGCCUGAAAAAACAAGCAGCCUUUUGCAUAGCAGAUUGGCCUGGAGAGAGAGUGUGAAGGAAUAAAUGCAGGAAUUUAAAGGAACUGAAAGUCAGAACCAAAGUGAAUUUGAAGCUUCAAAGAUCCCUUGUAAGAAAAAGUCACAAGGCUUCUAGGAUCAUUGGCUGUGUUUAGAAAAUCUGCAACCAGCUGUGAUGAGAAAUUAGAAGAGGGACUGAGGACUAAACUGAUAAAGUAAGAAGUAAAGGAAGAAAGACUAUGUGAGUGGAGGAGUUUGAAAUGCAAUUUGGUAGGUGUUUGGAAGAUUUGUCAAGGGAAUUUUGCCUAAAACUACUUCUACAACCUAGAGGUGUGAGUGAGAACUGGGGACAGCCUAAAGACCAUAAUUCCCUUACCACUUUGCAGAGCUCAAUCUUUAGAAAGAAAAGAAUAAUUAACUUUUCAAUCUUGGUCCUUCCAAAAGAAGUUCUUCAAGGGAUAUGAAGAGGAAGAGGAGGAGGCCGAACCCGAGUGGUCUUGCUGCCUUUCAAGUUCAGGACAAAUGUUAUUAAAGUUCUGCUGAUUUGGAUUGGUAAAAGGGAGAUGUGAUUGCAGCAAAAGAUUGUUGUUGGUGUCCAAAUCAUCCCACACAGGACUUCCUGGACCCCAACCUGCUGGAAUUGCAUUCAUCCAAGCCUCUGCCAUAUCCCCCCAAACCAAUUCCUCCGGCUGUGAAUUACCUCCUCCUGCAGCAUUCAUAUUCGCCUGAAAUUCAUCACUCGUUUUAGCUUCACUUGACCCCAAUCCCGAAUCGUCAUCGGUAUUGUCUUCUUCGGUAUGUGCCUGUGGUGGCGGUGGUGGUGGCAUUGCCUCCGUAUUUGAAGCUUUAGGGUUUUUCUGAACUUUACGAGAUUGCUUACGGUUCCUGGUUGUGGUAGGCAUUGAACUUUCGUGAGCUGUUGGAGAAGUAGCUGUUGAGCUUGGAGCUGUGGAAACUGAUGUGUUGUCUUUAUUGAGGAACAGCUCAGGGAAAUUAAGCCUAGCAUUCUCUCCCCUCAACUUGAAGGCCUCGCGGUCAUAAGCCAUGGCAGCAUCUUCAGCUGUGUCAAAGGUGCCGAGCCAGAGGCGAGUCCUGUUUCGAGGGAGACGAAUUUCAGCUACCCAUUUCCCCCAAUGCCGUUGCCUCACUCCCCUGUAAAGCUUGGUAGUAUUAUAAGGCAUUGCCGGCGGUCGAAACAAUGGUCUUCCAUCAGGCCCCAACCUGUUCAUCAUCAUAACUCUCCCUCUUGGACUUAAAUUCAAAGCAUCACUCCAAUACUGGAGAAUUUGAUGCUGCUGCUGUUGUUGCCAAGUUGUUGAGUCUCCGAGAAAGGGCGGGGGAUAACUCAUGCCAUGUUGCUGCUGCUGCUGCUGCUGCUGAGAAGCAAAAGAGAUCAUUUGCUGCUGAUUUUGUUGUUGUUGCUGUUGUUGUGAAAAUGGUGAGGGGUAUAUAGGCACAGCUGUGGUAUUGAAUUGGUUGGGAAAUUGAACAGGCUGCUGAGAGCCAUCAAAAGCAAAAGGAAAAACUAUUCUUGAAGAUGAUGAAGAUGGACAAGGAGUGGUUGAUGAAGUUGCUUGAUGAGCUGAAGAAGCAGAGGAUUGAAUUGGGUCUUGACGUUCAGGGCUCUUGAUUUUCUUGAGAGGCCUCUUUGACAUCAUGGAAGCUUCAUUAAAACCCAGCUUCCAUGGCUGGCUCUCGAAGCUAAAACCAAGGUCCUUGUCUUCGUUAAUCUCCCAAUCCAGGCUUGUUUCCAUCUCGCUUUCCUCCACACCCUUCUUGGAUUUACCGCUUUUUUUAGCCGCAGCCAUACUUGCUGAUUUUACCUUCUCGCUUUCUUUCUGAAUCCAAGGCUCUCAAAUACAAUCCCAGAAGCCAAAAAGAGAUUGAGAUUCAAGAGAAUUUCAGAUGGGUCACCGAAGUAAAUACGCCAAGAAAAAACAAAACAAAACAAAAAAAUCGAUUCCGAUAAAAGAGAAGAAAAUUCAAAUAACCCAGAAACAAAUUUUGGCAAAGGAAUAAAAAAAAUACAAAGACUGAAUUUUGGAAUCUGGGUUUCAAUUUGAAAAGCUAAUCCGAUCGAACGAAAAACAGAAUCGGAUACCAAAAGCGCAAAAUCUUGAGGAACCCAUCUAAAUUCUCUGAAUGUAGAGCUUGAAUUCAACAAAGAGAACGAGCAGGGCACGGCAAGUAACGAAUAUGCGAGAGGUUGUUGAUGAAGUGCAGAGUGUUUGGGUGUGAAGACGAAAUGUUUUGGUGCGGCUAGAGAAAAGCAGAGGAGCGAGAACAGAGGAGUAUCUAAAAAUCUAUGUGAGGAGAGACGGAGCAGGAGAGGGGGGGUUUAUAAGAGAGGAGAUAAAGAUUUUGAAUAAAGACUUUUUGAGGAAAGAGAGAGAGAGAAUAUGUAGAAGUCUCGGGAUUGGUUGGCUCUGCUUGGGCCCCACACGGCUUGCUUUCCUUACUUACACUCCAAUUUCUCUCUGUACCCACUAACCACCCCCCAUCUGUCCUUCCGUCUGUUUUUAUCUGUAAUUAAAGCAAGGGGAUUUCACAAUUUGUUUUAAAAAAUAAAUAGAGUAAAGGAUUUACUAGUGUAGUGGUUUGAAAUAUUUAUUUUCUUAGGUAAAGUUCUGGAUUCGAAUCCUAGCAUUCAUAUUGUGUGUGUGAGUUUAAUAUGUUAUCGCCCCUUUCAAUAGAAAAGAUCCUAAAAAAAGAAAGAAAAAGGAAAUAUGUUGCUUGUAUCCGUACAGUUUAUGUGGCAUGUAUGUGUGUAUUGAGUGUUGCAAGUAUUUGACUGCUACAAAAUUAGCUUCACAAAACAUGUGUUGAAUUGAAUAGUAAGAUGAGUGAAAUCUUGUAGAAAGUACCAAAUGGCUUGAAUAAGUUGUUUGAAUAUUUAUCAUUUGCCUCAUUGGUCCCAUCCCGGUAGGAGGGGGGUGGGAUAAGAAGUCUAGAAUGUUGGACCCUCGUUCGAAUUAUGAGUUUUGAACAUUGCAUUCUAAACAUAUUCCCAACUCCGUGUCAACUCUUUUCUCAUUUUCUAAUUUGGGACUUGAGUUGUUCCUGGAAGAUUUAGGUUAGUUCUAGUUGCAUUUCUACAGAAAAAAGGCCUAUUUUAUUUUGCUUUUUAUUUCUUUUAAAUUUCCUUGCAGUAGUAGCACACGUGUUAUCAUUUCGUAGAAAUCGUAAUUUUGUCGAAUCAAAACUAACGAAAUGAAAACUGCAUUUCUCCAGAAUAAAAACUGUAUGUCACUAGACCAAAUGAUCAUUAUGCAUCUUACUUUCAUAAAAUCUCAUAAUUCGAUCACAACUCACGAAAUUCAUAAAAUCAACUUGAUUUCAUGUGGAUUCAUUUUAUGUAGUUGGAUUAAAUUGGAUACAAAUUUUGAAAUUUUUUAUUACAACUAUGUUUGGUAAUUUUAGGUCCGAUAAAAACAAAAUAAUUUUUCACAAAUAUGCCCAUUCUAGCAUGCCAUUUUAUUAUUAAAGUAAAUCAUUCAAGUUUGAUACUUGAGAAAAAUUUGUAACACAUAGGAACCAAUUAAAAAUUGAUAAGUGACAAAUUGCGGGCAUAUUUUAUUUUUAUUUUUUUCCCAAAUAGGCUCUUUAAAUUAUUUUAUUAAUAUUAUAAAAUAUUGUGUUAGAAUGAUCUAUUUAUGAAAAUCACCCCCUUAUAUUACAGUAUUCUUUACUUUUUCAAACUGCUGAUGGAGUAUGAUAUAAUAAAACAAGAUAUUGGGCUGGCAAAUGGUCAACCAAGUAGAAAUGAUCAUUAAACCCUAAACCCUAAACCCUAAAGAAAAGUUACGUCACCAAUUUUCCAACCCCAGCCGGCCAGCCCAAUCAUUUACCAAAAAUGAAGUUACUAAUAAUAAAGUUUCCAAGUAAAUAAUUUCAUAAUUGCUAUAAAAUAAAUAAAUAAUUUAAUAAUUAGGAUUUAAACAUGCUUUUAGAAAAAGAAAAAGAAAAGUUGAAGUCACUUCAAAGAGAUUUUAGACAUGCUUUUUUCUUUAAUUACAGAACAAAAAAUAUCUUCAGAGUUGUGAUACGUGGUCAAAUCUUUAUUAUGGUGAUUGGAUUGUGUGGUCAAAUUUUUAUUUAUGAUCACCUACCUCUCACAUACAGAGAGACGUUUAAGUAAUUUUAAGCGGUUUACUAAAAGAGUCCUAGUGAAAUUAAGGUUUAAUUUGAGAUUACUUUGAAAAUAAUUAGUUGUAAAGUAAAAUAAUUUUAUGUUUGAUAAACAAUAUUUUUAUAGUUAUUUUUAAACUCUUCCUAUAUCUAUAAUGUUAGAGUUUUUUUAAACAAAAUUUUUUAUAUAUUGUUCGUAUGACAUAUAUGCUAAUUCACGUGACAAAUACAACGUGCAAGUAAGCGAAAAAUGCGUCAAUCGGGCUGCUUAUCUGUAUACAUACUUUAAACCAACUGUUUUAGCAUGUCAAAGAAAAAUUUUAAAAAAAAAAAAAAAUUGCAUAAGCUCAGAGUGUUAAGCUAAUUAAUAAGCAUAAGCAUAUAAUGUAUGGGGUUUGUUUGUGUGAAACAAGUGAUCCACGACUCCUCCACGUUAGAGGGCUCUCACUUUCGGUGAGAGCCAUUAGAAAAUAAAAUUGUCAUAUCUCCUUUGUCGUUCCGUAAGUCAACAAACAUAAAACGGUUUCCUCAAAGGGGCGGUGAGAAUCGGCACGUGUCGGUGGUCCACUCUUCAUCUUUAAUCAUUUUCUUCUUUUUUUCUUUUUUUUUUUCUAUGAAUAUUUGUCCAAGUCCACUAAACAAAGUUGCUUGUCUUUUUACAAAUUAUCAUGCCCCAUCAUAGAUAUUUUGGGGAGUCUACAUAAAUUCAUAUUGAUGGUUGAAUGCUACGCGUAAAUUCUUUUAGUUUGAGAUUGUGAAUUUGCUCUGAUGCUAUUCUAGACAUUCAUUAAAUUAUAAAAUAAAAAAAUGAAUUACAGUAAAGUAAAUUGUUUAAAAGAAAAAAAGAAAGUAGCAAUAACAAUAACCUUCGACUUCCCCUAACCGUUUGUGAUACAUCCAUUGUUUAAGCAUGUAGGAUCUAACAUGUUUCUGAAUGUGUUAGAAAAUUCACAUAUGUGUUUUUGGAUGACCAUAUAGAGGUGUUGGCGAUGGUGAUUGAGAGCUUCUACUUUGGUUCUUUUAUAGGAAAUUCCUAAACUGCCUUAGAAAGUGAGUCUUUUAGUCGGUCUAGAGAUUUUCGAGGCCCAGGGCAUCAUUGAAAAAUAAUCAUGUGCACAAAUAACUCGACAAAAACAUGUUGUAUUAUUGUAUAUAUAAAUUUUAUAUUAGAAAAAAGUUGAAAAUUUUACAACCAUAAAAAUGAAAAAUCAGGCCUCAAAGAAAAUACCAUUUUAUUUUUGUACUAUCUAACUUUUUAUAUAUAAUCAGUCACAAGAGACAAUACAAAAAAAUAAAGUAGUAAAUAGAAGAAUCCAAAAUGCUGGUUUCCAAACUCCUUUUUAAUGUAAUCCAAAACUCAAUAAGACGUUCCACCAUUAAAGGAGUUUUUGAACAACUUUUACCAGUCGAAAAAUUUGACCAUCUUUAAGAUGAUUGGCCAGAAAAGAACAAAAACAAUCCCCCUUAUUAGACAUCUAUGUGCAUAAAUAAAAGAAGCUUCCUAAGUUGGGAAUGAAACGUGGCUUUGAUUCGUGCAUUUUGGUUGCUUUCACAAUCUAUCUAUAGAAAUGGAAGAUCUCUUCCUCCUCCCAAAAACCAUUUGGUUUAUGGACAAAGAAAGACUGGUCUUUUUCUUUGACCGCCUCUCCAACAGUAGACACAAUUCACCAACUUUUUCUGACUCUCUUGCCAAUGAAAUAAAGAGGGAUGCAUUCGCAUGUCAUGGCAUUUCUAUAGUUCUUGGCAAAAACAUGCAUAUAUAAAGUGUGUCACGCUCACAAAUGAUGGGUUCUUUCCUAUUAUGUGAUUCAAUAUGUACCAAUAUUAUUAUUCUUUGUAUGACUGACAGAGAAACAAACCUAAAUAUGCCAUUUUUCAAUACGAUUACAGAACUAUAUGCAUGCAUUAUUUGACUGAUAUUGAUGAGCCAAAUACAUCAAUUAUAGUGAGUGACGUGAAUCAUGUGUGGUCUAAUGAAACAUUGUAUCUGAAUAAAUUGUUUGGUUUUUGUACCAUAUUCACAUUAAAGCAUCCAAUUCAAGAUAAGGGUGUAUGGACUUCAAGCAUAAAAAGAGACCCUAUAUAUAUAGAGGAGGCAAUACAUUAAAAUUGUUGUACUAUAUAAAUUGAAAGGCUCUCAUUUUAAGCAAAGCUAGUUCGAAACUCCUACGGAAGCAUGCACCGUCAAAGUUGUAUAACAAUUAUUUCAUACAAUGACAGCAAAAUACAAAUUUAAAGAGAAAGAAAAGAAAAAAGGAUCAUGACAGAACUAGCACACAGAUCGAUCAUGCAAGAACUAACUUCCCACUAAUUAUUCUCUCUUUCUUUGUUUUUUGUUUUUGUUUUUUUUGUUGUUGUUGUUAUCGUCGUCAUCAAAGUUAGGAAGGAGAGGAUGCUGUUCAAGGGCAGAACAAUACUAAGGGUGUUGUCUUUGUCAUUUUACUUUUAUUUAUUUUUAUAUUACUUUAUUUACUUAAGUUUACAAUGUAAAUAGGGAAGCACCUCCCAUUUGGAUUCAAAUAAAAAUACUAGAAAAUCAAAUUCCCAUCAAAUCAAAAUAUGAAAAAUCGGUUUUAGUGCAAAAUCAAGUUUUCUUAUUUGAUGUGUAAGGAAUAAAAGCCGCCAAAAAUUAUCUUGAGAAAAUAAUUAUUCUGAAAAUCCAUUUUUCAAUAUUUUUACAUAAAACAACUUUUCAUGUAUGAUAUGAAUGCAUGAAUGAACCUAAGGUCAAUCUAGCUAAAAAGCCUUAGAUGUUCAAUCCACUAUGGUGUUAAACCCUAUUUGGUUUAUGUUAAAACUUAUUUAAAAUUAGUCUAUAGAGCUAUGAACUAGCUUGGUUUAUAUGAUUUAAUGUUUACUUUUAUUUCUAGAAAGACUAUAGAAAUUGUAAGUACCAAAUAAAAUAAUCAUUAAAUUUUAAGCUAAUAACUUUAGUUAGCCCAUCCGUUGAAAAAUUCCUGGUUCCGCCCUUGGUGCUGUUCUCACACACACACUAUCAGGUACAACAAAGGUUCGAACUUGAGACCAUUAAUCUGCACAUCAAGUCUUUUCCACUGAUUUACAAGUUAAGAUCCUUUCUCCAAUUGGGUACCCCAUUGACAAAUCCUACUACUUAUCCAUUGAUUGUCAGCCGGAAACUCUUGGGUAUUUGAUUGAUGCAUAUAAUUAGUCUGAAAAUUCACGUAACCCACAUAUAUAUAAAUAUAACAUAUAUUCUAUCAACUGAUAUAGUCAACCAAUAUAAUACUGAUGAGUGGUGGUGGUGAGUGCAUGAAAUGGUUCUCAUAUAUAUAAUGGAGUCCUCGUGGUGGAAAAAACCAUUGUAUUAAUUAGUGAAAUUCUAAAACAAAGACCCACCUAAUAGCCUAAUAUAAUAAACAAUCAUUCUAAUUAAUUACUUCCUUAAUUAUUAAUCAUAUCUUUUGUUUUUUGAUCAAGUUAUUAAUCAUAUCUUAGCCUCCAAACCUUUGUGCAAGCAAUGUCUAGCACAAUGUAGCUUGGACACGUGUCAUGCAUCCGAUAGUACAUACCUCAUUAUUUACACCACUCUUAUUAGUUAAAAAUGGCCAUUGACAGAGAAUGCAGGAAGGUGUGUUCUUCUGCCAUUGGCCAGUUAGAAAACAUAGGUUUCCUCGAAACGAAUUGAAGUGAAACCCUAGCUAAUUGGCCAAUUCGAGGAAGUGUUUUGCACUGACCAAAACGACAUCAUAAUCAUCCUCGGUGGCCCAUUUGGGUAAUGGCCUAAAUAUUUCAAUAAUAAAGUGUAUAUAUAUAUGCAUUUCAAAUUCUCGAUGCUCAGUUGAGGAUUGGUUAUGGCUGCAACAGGAUGGUGGUCUCCACACGCUUCCCUUUCAAGUUUCAGGGGUUUUGAGUGCAUGGCAAACACAAUCGUGAGUGUUUUCUGUACAGUUUCCUCCACCUUUGUGUGCAGGGGGUGGUUGACAAAGAUAAACUUCAGUAUAUAAUAUUGGAAGGCUGGAAAGUAAGAACAAACAGAUAAAUAUAACUACAAGAUAUUUAUUAUAUAACGACGACAAAAUAAAUACUUAAUUGAUCUCAUGUGUGGUGGGCAGUCUCCAAGAUGCAACAACCAUCUUGUACGAUUAGUUCAGAUGCAUCCCAUUGGUUUCUAUGAGAUGGAUAUUCUUAGGAAGAGUUCAAAAUGAUUCUAAUAUACCUUUAUUUAUAGGUUACAUUCUAACUUAUUUUAAAACUUCAAGGACCGGUAGUGUAAGGGUCUUAGAGCAUCUUCAUCUAUAAGGGUUAAAUCUAGGGUAAGGACAAGUAAGGGCUGCCAUUAUUCACAUGAGUAGUGUCAGCAUUGUCAUUUGUGGUUCCACCCAUGAGGGUUAAGUCUAGAAUAAGUCUAAGGCAAAUACUAUUCAUUGUACUUUAUUUCCUAUUUUUUUAUACUUUAAACCAUUAAUUUUGAUAAUCUUUUGUAAUUAAAUUUUCGGAUAAGAUUUUUGGUUAUCACGCGUCCAUUAUUUUUCAGAAAAAAUUUUCGGAUGAGAAUCUCGGUUGCCACGUGUCUUAUUACAGAUAAAAAUUUCGGAUAUUUAUUUAAAAAAAUUAUAAUCUCAGAUUUCAGAUAAGAUUUUCAACCUCUAAAAUUGUGCCAUGUGUCCCAUAUCAGAUAAGAUUUUCAUAAUUAAUUAACAAAUUAUAUUCUUAGAUUUCAGAUAAAAUUUUCACCAUUUAAAAUUGUGCCACGUGUCAUCUCUAUCUUCAGAACCAUAAUUUUCAGGAGACAUAUGGCAUUUCCUGAACGUUCAAACAUAUGGCACCGAACCAUGAUUCUCAGAUUUCAUAAUUAAUGCACGAAAUUUUUUUUGCCUUGCCCCGUGGCACCGAACCACAUUUGUGCUUGUAUGAUCUAUUAAAAAUAAAUAAUUGGAAGUGCAAGAAAAAAAAGAGUGAGUGGAGAAUUGGUGUAGAAAGUAAAUAAUGUGAGUGGAGAGUAAAAAAUAUUGGAUGGAGAAGAAAUUGUAUGAAGAUUUGGUGUGGAAAGUAAAUAAAAUGGUUAGGUAUUUAUAGGGAAAAAAUUCAGAAUUUUUUGGUAUUUUUUUAAAAAAAAUUCAGAAUUUUGUCGAUUUUUUUUAGCCAAAAAAACAAGGACCGUCGGAUUUCUGGAAAAAACAAUCGGAGCGUCUCUAUUGCGACACGUGGCACAUGCCCGUUAGAUUCUAUCAGGACUGACGUCAGCGCGCGGAAGUCAAAUUUUUUUUACCGUUGGCUCAUGGGCUCCAGCUGAAGCCCAGUCGAAACUUGCCCUUGGGCCUGCCUGGGCUAGUGGGACCCAGUUCUUGCCCGGGCUUCUUCUCUCGCGCUGGAGGGCGCUUGGGCUCACCAAGGGGGCCUUUCCCCCAGUUUGGGUUGCGCGCUAGAGAUGCUCUUAUAGUUCAAGUGGUUUAAAGUAUUAAUUUAUGUAAUCAAAACUCUAGGUUUGAUUCUCCCCUCCUCCAAUAUCGCCUAUCACAAAAAACUUCUAGGACUAAUUGGACUAAAGCAAAGAAUCCAAUUAAUAGUUGGCUGGAGGACUAAUAUAAAGAAUCUAAAUAAAUGAACAAUUCAAUAGUCCAAUAAAAAAGAACUUAAAAACUAAAUAUUUUUAAUUAAAAAGAAAAAUUUGCAUAAAUACCACAUGAACUAAUAAGGUUGUGAGCAGUUAUCACCCAAUGGAACAUUUUCGACAGUUUGCUACUCAAAACUUCACUAUUUCAUCUAAUUUUUUGUAAAAAAGUUUCAGUUAUACAUACAAACAUGUACAUGUAGUCAAAUUCAAAUUAGUCAUAAUUUUAAUUAAAUCGAAAUAGCUAACUGAACAAAAACCGAAAAUAAUUCAGAAGUAUAGAAAUUGAACCAAUUGAAAUAUACUAUAAAUCACCCAACUGAAAAAUAGCAAACCAAACAAUUAUGGAAAUUCUUUGAUUAUUUGGUUUUGGUAAGCCCUAUCACAGAUUAUAACCCGCCAAAUGACAAGCUUAAAAAUGACAAAGUCCAGGAAUUGUAAUCAAGCGGCGGAUCAUCUUGCGUCGCUGGCACUAUCGAGGAGGAGUACGGAAGUUUGGGUUGAAUGGCCCCCCACCUCUCUUGUGCACAUCCUUUGCAAGGAUGGACUCCCUUGUCCUCACCAUGCCUAAUUUGACUGUUGAUUGGUCUUGAAUCGUUUUAACAUCCUUAUGGUUGGAUUGUUUUUCUGGCGCUUUUCUUCUUGAUCAGUCUAAAUGUGUUGUUUGUUUUCUGGACUCUUUACGCAUUGUCUGUUUCCUUGCAUGGACAGACUUGUUUCCCUCUGUAUGGGCGUGGGCCUUUUGUUUAGGGAUUUCUUGUGCUUUGAAUAUAAGAUAUUUUCGACCAAAAAAAAAAAAAAAAAGACAGAGUCCCCCUAAUCAACAUACCGAAGAAAUUUAGUACCCCAUUUCACAAGUAAUAGCUUUUAAUAUAUGAUAAAAGCAGCCAUCUUCACUUCUAUAAAUCUAUCUUGACCUCGUCUGCUUGACAAUGUAUACAUGGUAUGCGCCCGAUCAAAAGGGGAUGACAACAGUAGAAAAAAAAAAAGAGAAGGGGAACAAAAAUAGUUCAACAAAGAAAUAAGAUUUAAAAAGAGAAUGUAAUGCCAACGGGAUCUAAUAUAAUGAAAAAUAGCCUUGAUUUGCAGAAUAAAGGUCUCACAUUCAAAUCCCCACAGUAUCAUAGUUGUGUGUGUGUGUGAGAAAUCUCACUCCCAUAUAGUUUAAACUAUCGCUUGUACUAAAAAAACAAAAAAAAAACAAAGAGAAUGCAAUGAAUGAUAGGCCUGCGAACAUGGAGGCCAGGCAAUGUGUAUACUGUUGAAUGUAGACCCAUCACGACAUGUAGGCCCAAAUGUAAGGGCCUUCUACCAUUUUUCUAUUGGACCUAGUAUUUCUACAAGAAUUGAUUUGUCUUGAGCCCAUUACCAAUACAAGAGGCCCACAAUCUGGCUUUCCACCUUUCACUAACUAUAGAUUGAUUAGAAAAAACAUGUCUUUCUGCCGCAGAUGCAGCAACAUCCACACAACUUCCACUUGUUGCUUUACUUAUCUAUAAUGCAUGAUUUAUGGCGUAAAUGCAUUUAAUCCACACUUUUGAAUUUUGUCCUCAUUAUCCAGCAAAAAAUUUCCCCACUCUGAAUAUUGACAGGCUUUUGUAAUUUCUUUUGGGUGUUGAAAUGCCCUUUUUUGAAUGGCAAAUGUUUGUGUAGAUGUGAGUUAAGUCAGUUGAUUAAGAUAGUAUAUUCACUUUCUUGCUCCAGAAUUCGAUCAUCCUCCCCACACAUUAGAGUAGUUUAAAAUAUCACUUUGUUGAAAAUCAAUAAAACAAUAUGACAGAGUUCUUUCCUUAGAAUGAGCCUUUUCUCAGUCAUUGGGCCAAUUUCUCUCUCUCUCUCUCUCUCUCUCUCUCUCUCUCUCUCUCACCAGGCCAUUGCUCAAUGAACUUAUGCCAGAUCACUGUGCUCUCAUAUAUUAUUUCAUAAUCGGGCAAUGUUUUCCUGGAAGUCCUGGUGUUGCAUCCAAUCCGUUAAUUGGUCAACAAACUUCUUUUUAGGAAUUGGUGAAGUAAGGUGAUUUAUGACCGUGGCAUAGACCGAAGCGAAUUGUUCCCACCCCUAUUAUUUAGUUGUUUUUCAUUCGACAAGAAAAUAUGGUGAGUGAUAAAGAAAAAAGAACAACUAAAUGUGAUAAGUAGCACCACAACUUUACCACUAGCUAUAAUCACCUACCAAGUGAAGAAACAUUCUAUCUAAUCUUUUACAUACAUAUUCGAUUUCUUGUUUGACGCUGGAAUUAACCUUACCCUAAACCGUUAUAUGUUUAAUACGAACUACCACUUCAGUAAAGGGUCUACUGUAAAAAGUGAAAAGUUACCACCUAACGAAAAGUAAAAGUGAAGAAUUACCCAUAUAGGAUUUGAAAGGAGGAACGGGGUCUAUAACAUAAAGACAACAUUCUAGGAUGAGAAGGCAUGGCAUGAAAAAGACCGCAAGGGAAAAACUGACCAAGAAAACGGUGAACCACCAUCACUCAUUCACGCUCUCCCUUGGAUUAGAUAAGAUAAUGGAGCGCCUUCCACGUGGCACGGUCAUAGUGGUGCCUAGCGAUAAGGCUAGCAUUCAAAAUGUUCCUCUGCUUCAUGUGGUCUACAUGGUGUAAUGUCAGCAUUUUUAUGAUCCAAAGGUCCAAAUUUGAUUUCAGUAAAGUAAAUGGAAUUUGGACCCUAGGAUGUGAAAUAGCUAGUCAGACCACUAUAUAUAGGAAGGGUGAACAGAAGCUGUGCAACUCAACUGAAAAGUAAAGACCUCUAGCAAAGAAGAGGGCUAAAGAGAGCACAGAGCAAUGGCUUCCUCCAUGAUUUCUUCAGCUACCGUGGCUUCGGUUUACGCUGACCGUGCCGCCCCGGCACAAGCUAGCUUGGUUGCACCAUUCACUGGCCUCAAGUCUGCCUCAGCUUUCCCCGGCGCCAAGAAGACCAAUGACAUCACCUCCAUUGCAAGCAAUGGUGGAAGAGUGCAAUGCAUGAAGGUAAGACUACUUAUCAACAUGUUGCUACAAUUAAUUUACAUUCAAAACAAUAUACCCAAAUGCAUGUUGAAGUAACUACUUCACGAGGAACCGAAAUACAUAACUUGUGAAUAUACAAAUGAAUUGUCUGAAUUACAGUCUGAUAACUUAACAUGUCGUAAAAAAAUACAAUUUUUUUCAUAAUCGUAGCAUAUUUACAUACCCACUAUUAACUAUAAUUAAAGAAAAUGUAGUUUAUUUCCAAGCUUACCAAUCCUUUCGUGUGCUUCCUGGCCGCUAAUUAGUAAUAGUUCCUCUAUUUUUUUGGCCAAGAAGGUACUAAUCGAAGUACUAGAACAUCGAUUUAUCGAAUAUUUUGAUUGAUACAGGUGUGGCCUACAGUUGGACUGAAGAAGUUCGAGACUCUCUCCUACCUUCCACCACUCUCUCCUGAGUCUUUGGCCAAGGAAGUAGACUACCUUCUCCGCAAGAACUGGGUUCCCUGCUUGGAAUUUGAGUUGGAGGUUAAUAAUUUCUUUUUAUAAACUUAUUUAUAUAUGUUAGCUUCAUGUAAUAUUUGUUUGCUGACUUAAUUUUCUUGAACAAAAUUGUGGUUUUAUAGAAGGGAUUUGUGUACCGUGAGAACCACAGGUCACCAGGGUACUAUGAUGGAAGGUACUGGACCAUGUGGAAGCUGCCCAUGUUUGGAUGCACAGACUCUUCCCAAGUGUUGAAAGAGCUCGAGGAGGCCAAGAAGGCUAACCCCAACUCUUUCAUCCGUAUCAUCGGAUUCGACAACGUUCGUCAAGUGCAGUGCAUCAGUUUCAUCGCCUACAAGCCUGCAGGCUACUAAUUUCAAGUUUCAUGAUUUUUAUUUUAUGUUGUUUGUGGCUUGUUAGCCAAGGGUCUCGGUGGUUUGUUUAAGUCUGUACUUAAUUAGGCCUUUCAAGACCUUUGUUGGUUUCUUUUCUUUCCCUUUUUCGAGACAAUUUCCUUUGUUUUCGAAGUUGGUGUUUUUCGGAUUCAUAAUGUGGUGGUGUUGAGAAUAUUCAUGAAUAAAAUGAUAUCCGUAUUUUAUUUUCAGUCCGAAUAAAGCUACAUGUAGCAUGUUUAUUAAUUACAUUACUAAUUACAUCUCUCAUCUCUUACUAAGACAUACACUCACGCACAUGUUUAGAGGUGUGGUGAACAAUGUUAUUGGUAAUAAUGUAAUAAUAGUUUUAUUGUUUUCUAAUUAGGAUUUUAAUUCAGUUUCUAAUUUCCUUUAUGAGUUUGGGAAUGUACACAGAUGAUGGUGAAUUAUACUGGGGAAAGUUGAAAUUUGUUCUGAAGAUUACUCAAGGUGAAUAAGAUCUCUUCAAUGAUUUUCUCAAAAAUACUUCUCUUAAAUGCAAUUGUUCAUGAAAACAAUUCAAGUUUGAUAGCCAGAUAAGUAACUAAAGUAAGUAUAAAAUUAAAAAUUACCAACAAAUUGCAGUAUUUGUAUGUACCCAAAAGGAAAAAACAAAAGCUUUCUCAAGUCUGUUUAAAUUGGAUAUAUUCAAACAAGAUAUACAACUUUUUAAGUUCAAUUUUACGUUUUCUAUUGAAGCAUGAGCUUAUAACUAAGCAGAACAUUAAAGUCGUUAACCACGUCAUAAGCCUUCAGGUUAUAGAUGGGUACCAAAUUACAAAAUCACAACAUAAGCUCAGUCCCAUUUUGAUGGCACAUUUUUUGAGCCAGAAUUCAGCUACUAAUUGCUAACUUAAUUUUUGCAAUAUUUCUUUAUUUUUAUUUUGAAAUUCAAUAAAACCUUCUUCAAGCACUUGCGCUUCUAUCAAUUUCGUAUCACACAUUUUUUCAAUUGACCGACUAGUUUUCUUGGACCCUAGAUAGCUACACUUAUGGACAUGCAUUUCUCCAGAUAAAGAAAAAGAUAAGCUGGGUCAUUUCAAAGUCGCCGCACUAAAAUUACAACUUUACCCUAAACCCUAUAUUCAUAUCCACACAGAAAUUUCGAAGCUGGCUUCCAACCGUGUUUUGUGUUUACACGAGCUUGAUGACGACCCUCUAGAUGAAAUUAGUGAUUUGUUAAAGAAUGAAUCAAUCUGGUGUGAAAUGACCAAAGUCAGUUGUCAUGCAAAGCCAGAAGAAGAAAAAAAAUAAUGGACAAUCAUGUUAAAAUAUGAAAAUUAUGAGAGAACUAUGAGAGAAUAUUUGUUUGUGGGAAUUUUCUGUGUAUUCUUCUCCUUGUAGGAGGUCUUAUUUAUAAUACAACGAAACCUGAAUGGACAAGUAAAUAAUAAAUUCCUAAAUCUAUUUACAGUAAAAAAUCAUGAAUUAAAGUAAAUCAAUUACAAUUAUAAUAGGAAUUCUUGGUGUGUAAGGAAAGUAAGUCAAUAUCCACAAGUCACGCCAACACUCCCCCUCACGUUGGUGCAUAGAUGUCGCUAAUGCCCAACUGAUCCAGUGAAUUGUGGAAUGUUUUACUGGAAAUCGCCUUUGUCAAAAUAUCUGUCAAUUGAUCCUCGGAUUUCACAAAAGGAAACUGAAACACUUUAGCCUCAAGCUUCUAUUUGAUGAAGUGUCGAUCCACCUCAACAUGUUUAGUACGAUCAUGCUGAAUCGGAUUCUGCGCAAUGGUUAUAGCAGCCUUGUUGUCACAAAAGAGAUUCAUUGUGGAUGUAGGUUUAUACCUAAGUUCAGUAAGCAACUUUCUUAACCAAAGAAGUUCACAAAUCCCUUUAGUCAUGCCUCUGAACUCGGCUUCUGUACUGGAUAAAGCUACUACAUUCUGUUUCUUGCUUCUCCAUGUCACCAAAUUACCUCCCACGAAUGUGAAGUAACCCGAUGUGGAUUUUCUAUAUGUUACAUUACCUGCCCAAUAUGCAUCUGAAUAACCAUCAAUAUUUAGAUGACCAUGCUUUGAGAACAUAAGUCCUUUUCCAGUUGCAGACUUCAAAUAUCUAAGUAUCCGAAGAACUGCAUUCAUGUGGUCUUCACUUGGAGAGUGCAUAAAUUGACUGACAACCCUCAUCGCAUAAGCAAUGUCUGGUCGAGUAUGUGACAAAUAGAUCAAUCUUCCCACUAACCUUUGGUAUCUUUCUUUGUUAGUUGGAACUUGAUCCGGAUAUUCUCUAAGAUGAUGAUUCUGAACAAUAGGAGUGUCUGCAGGUUUACAAUCUAGCAUUCCUGUGUCUGUCAACAAGUCCAAGACAUAUUUCCUUUGAGAGAAAAAUAUGUCUUGCUGCGAUUGAGCCACCUCAAUUCCCAAGAAAUACUUGAGUCUACCUAGAUCCUUCAUCUCAAACUCCGUAGCCAGAUAGUCUUGUAGCUGUGAUAUUUCCUGUUUAUCAUUCCCAGUAAUAAUCAUAUCAUCAACAUAGAUUAUUAAUGUUGUUACCUUCCAUUUUCAAUGUUUCAAGAACAGAGUAUGAUCUGAGUUGCACUGUUUGAAACCAUUGUUCUUCAUUGCCAUAGUGAACCGUCCAAACCAUGCACGUGAUGACUGUUUCAAUCCAUACAAUGGUUUAGUGGCUUACCACGAUUUUGCCUGAAAGGUAAUUGAUAUCCAAUAGUUUUAUCAUCUAAAUGCACAAGUCUAGAAGGAGUAGUUACCUCAAGGAUAUUCUCAGAAGAUUGGUCUGUUGGUACUGUUGAGUUAGAGGGGGGUCUUCAUCUUGUUGUUUUGUAUUGUCUGUAGGUGUGAGACUCGGAUCAGAAGUUUCUUCGCAUGGAUCAGGUGGGUUAGGCAAUUGAUCGCUAUGAAUGGGCAAUUGGUAGUUUUUCGACAGAGAGUAAUCUCAUGCUCCAGACUCGGGAUGAUCAAUCAUUUCUGUACAGAGGAGAAUUUCUUUGUUUUUCAAGUUGCUCUAAUUCUGCUCUUCACUUUGUAUCUCCCCCUGAAGCGUAGAAUUGGAUGAUGGGUCAUGGAAGAACAGCUCAUAUUCUAGAAAGGUCACAUCCAAAGUAACAUAGGUUUGUUGGGUAGGAGGGUGAUAACAGCGGUAGCCUUUCUGAUGAGUGACAUAACCCACAAAAGCACAACGAAGCGCAUAGGGAUCAAGUUUGCUACAUUGAUUUUUGUGGACAUGAAUGAAAGCCACACAUCCAAAGAUUCGGGGUGUGAGUACCAAAACAGAGGGCAGAGGUCUGUGUUACGCAAGCACUUGUAAGGGAGUUUUAAAGGUCAAUACACCAGAAGGCAUGCGGUUGAUCAGGUGAACUGCGAUGAUAAUAGCAUCAUCCCAGUGAUGGUGAGGAACAUGAGCGCCAAUCAGAAGUGCUCGAGCAGUUUCAAGAAAAUGUCGAUUCUUUCGUUCAGCAACACCAUUUUGUUACAGUGUCUGAGGACAAGUCGUCUCAUGGAUAAUUCCAUAUUGUUGAAGGUAAAUCUGAAAGUCAUGAUUGACAAAUUCUCCACCAUUGUCUGAGCGAAGAAUCUGGAUUUGAGCAUUAAACUGGGUUUUCAUCUGUUUGUGGAAGGACUGAAAACCGGAAAACACUUCGUUUUUAUUCUUCAGCAAAUAAAGUCAUGUCAUCCCUGUACAAUCAUCGAUGAAUGUGACAAACCAUCGAACACCAGAAGGAGCAGUGAUAGGCGAAGGUCCCCAGACAUCAGAGUGAAUUAACGUAAAUUGAGUAGUACACUUGUUCGUACUCAAUGAGUAAGGCACACGGUGACUCUUGGCCAAAAUACAAGUAUCACAUAUGAAGUCAGAGUCCUUGAAACCUGAGAAUAAAUCUGGUAUAAGAUGCUUCAUAUAACUAAAAGACGGAUGUCCUAAUCGACGGUGCCACAACUAGAUUUACUUUUGUUUGCUAUCAAAGGGAUGUGUCACACUGUUAGCCAUGCCGGGACUGAAGUCAUUGACAUAAUAUAGCCCCCCUUUCUUAGUACCACGACCAAGAAUCUCUUUAGUGUGAAUAUCCUGAAGCAAACAAAAACUCGGGUAAAUGAGUACACAACAAUUCAAUUGUUCAGUAAGCUGACUAACUGACAACAAUUUAGUGGAUAAAGAUGGAACAAGUAAAGUAUUAGACAGUGUGAGAGAGGAUGAGAGUGCAACAGUGCCAGCCCCUGUCACAGGAUAAGUAACACCAUUGGCAUUUGCAAUACAGGUUCGUCGAGGUUGUGUAGUAUUCAGAAAAUCAUCAGGAUCAAACGUCAUAUGAUCAGUUGCACCGGAAUCAAUUAUCCAGCUCCUAGAAUCAAUCUUAUCGGAAGUAUGGAAUCCAUAACCAGUACCAUUACUGGUCAUAUUGCAUUGUACUUGAUCUGUAAGAUAGCCCACCAAUCGGGAUAGCCAUGCAAUUUAAAACAAGUCUCACAAGUGUGUCUCGGAUCACCACAAUAUGUGUAAUCUGGUCCAUGUGUCGGGGUCGUUAGUCGAGAAGUCAUAAUCUGUGCAGGGAAGAUACAUAGGAUACAGGUUGAAUAGGAAUUUGGAUCGGAAUCUGAGCCUGAGUCGGGGCAGGAGUCGGAGUCGAAAUCGAGAUUGGGGUCUAAAUCAGAGACAAAUUCAGGGUGGGGGUCAUCAUCUGAGUGGGGGUCGGGGUCGUCUUCGUAGUCGGGGUCGGGGUCAGGGUCGUCAAAAGAUGAUCCUGAUUCUGGAUCGGGUUCAGGGUCAAAGUCUGUAUCUGUAGGAGCUAAGCCAUCUAGCCACUCAACUCAACGAUGGUUGGUUGAGAAUGAGAGAAGGAGUCGGUGGUGCUACCUCCAUGAGGGUUGAAAAAAUCAUCGACCCCCAUAGCGGCGGCGGGGGUUUGAAGCUAGAGUCAGCAAUUCCAAAAUUUGGCUCUGAUACCAUGCUAAAAUAUGAAAACUAUGAGAGAAUAUUUGUUUGUGGGAAUUUUCUAUGUAUUCUUCUCCUUGUAUGAGGUCAUAUUUUAUAAUACAACGAAACUUGAAUGGACAAGUAAAUAAUAAAUUCAUAAAUCUAUUUACAGUAAGAAAUCAUGAAUUAAAGUAAAUCAAUUACAAUUAUAAUAGGAAUUCUUGGUGUGUAAGGAAAGUAAGUCAAUAUCCACAAGUCACGCUAACAAAUCAUUGUGUUAAAUUAAUUAUCCAAAUCGUUCAAUCUUUAUGUUUUUUUUUAAUGAUUAUUCAUGUAAAAAAUAAACUAAAUCGGAAAUUGUUUAGACAUUUAGGUACGUAGGAUGUGUGCACUUUUCUUACAUGAAAUAUAGGAAUUGAAAGAAACCCAACUGUUUUAAUCCAAAGGGAAGGCUAAAUCUCAUGAAACCAAAAAGAAAAAGAUUUGUGUACGAAUCGAAGGAAAUAAAUGAAAAUAUGCUUGAAAGAAGUAAUCUUACAACAGGAAUGAAUAUCAUGGGGAAUGAAUAAACUUCACAAUACUCAAAGAAAAUCUCAUUGUGGUGUGAAACUUAUUCUGUCCUCAACGGCUCAUUUCUGAUGUUUUCCAAGAUAUAGUAGCCUGAUCUAUUUAUAGUGAAAUAUGACAAAAUUUCCAACAAAAUUAUGGAAACAUAAUUAAUUGUAUCCACUAUUGGGAUAUUUUUUACAUAACAUUUAUAAAUUUUCCUAUAAAAAAAAUAAUAUUUAUAAAUUUGAUAAAUAUACCUAGAUGCGAAUGUUACGAUGUUGCAAAAUUAAAAUUUUUCCCAUAUUUAAAAAAUUCAUGUUAUUCACCAACCACCAUAACUCUAGUGGCAAGUGUACUUAUUAAUAGGAAUGAGGGAAGUUAUGAAUCAGGAAAAUUAAGAAAGGGAAUGAGGAAUUGAAAUUGAAAUCGGAUCAACUACUCCUCUAGUUGAUUUGAUUUCUAAUUUUAAAGGUAUUUGAUGAUGAAUUUUAACAAUAUUGAGAAGCUGAAGUUCUAACAAUUAAAUGGACAACCCUUGAUGUAUUAUUACAAGUCGUGGUAUACCACAUAUUUCUUUGGCAUAAGAAAAUGAUGAAGCUUGAUUUUAUCACACCUCAAGAAGAAAUAUAUUUUGUGAAUCUUGGUUGUUAAAGAUUCACCGUGAAAUGAAUAAUAUCAUGAUAAACCUUAAAGGAUGAAAUGAGACUCCCCAUAUUUUGUUAUAUUAUAUGAUCUGGGCCGAAAGCCCAUGGAUCCCAAUAUGUCAAAAAUCCCAAACCUGAAGUUUUGGGUAUAUAAUAGUUCAUGCUCUUCACUACUAUAUUGCAAUAUUAUCAUGGCUUUUCCUCAAUUUAUAUUUCAUGCCUAUUUGAAAAAGGCAAUUAAAUUAUGAGGUUGUAUUUAACCCGGGCCAGAAGUUCCUGGCACACAUGCGUUGAAAUAUAUAAUUUGAGAGAUUUAAUGUGAUCAUUUUGAAAAGACGUACAGGUGCAAGUUUAUGAAUUUGCCCAAUUAUUAUUAACAGAAAGAGAGUAUACAACAGUUAAAUUGUUUUCAUCUGCAAGAAAUAAAGCAGACUUUGUAAAAUCUAUCAAGCUACAUUAUGGCUUAGAAGUUCCGGAAGAAAGAGAACAUCGCCUCUUGAGCUUAGACAUGAGCCUUUCUUGGUCUUUUAGAAUCUUUUGAUUGGAAAUCUGCAACAUGUCGAAUUUUGUCUACGUAUCUAUUGAGUAUGAACUCACCAGUUUAAACAAAGUUUUAUUUUCCUUUUUAAGGUUUUCAACCUCUCGCUAAGAAUUAUGAAGCAUUCUCCGAAGAGAUGAAUUUUCAGUCUUCAGCUCCUAAAUCUUGUUUGCUUUGGCAAGCAAAUGAUGAGCCAUGUUAGAAACAAAAGCAGCACUCUGAAUGCUAAAAGCCAUUGAGUCAUCAAUAACCUUUUUGUCAAACCUUCCCAUUAAUAAUAUCUCAUCCAUUGGAGUAAGGAAAUUCCUAGCUACUAUGAUAGCAGUUGUAUCAUUCAUCAUAACAGAAUCAUUAACCGUGGGAUGACGAUUUUGGGAUACAAAGGAUGGACGCUAGACUUUGGCGUCAUGAGUUGUUUUAGGAGCAAUAUUUAAAUUGAAAUGUUUUGGGCGAGAAGAAGAGGAAGUCAUUUUAAAGGUUUCGAGGAAAGUCUUAGAAAAGCUAAACUUUCAGAAAAUGGAAGGAAUUUGAGUUAUUCCAAUUAGGUCAUACAAAGACAAUAUCUAUAAGUAAAAAUGUGGCAAUAUUUCUAGGAUCCCAAUAUUUCCUUUUACUUUUCCAAAUUCCAAAACUUCACGUGGCUUUCAUUAAUGUCUGUCGGCACUUUAAUAGUUUCAAGGACUAUUUUUGUCAAAUUGAUCUUCCUUUUAUGGAUUUCACGGUGUCACUUUUUCAAAAGUGUCUCGAGAACUUCAAAAGUUUUUGUAGUUAAUUUGAAAUUUAACAUCUCACACUAUUCCUUUUCUUGUGUAUAAAUAUGUUACUAACAAACUUCAUUGCAGAUCACAUCUUAUCCAAAUGAUAGAAUAUCAACUUGUUUUUCCUAUUAGCGAGCGCUUGAUGUGCUUGAGAAGCGAAACUAUCUCUGAUCAUUUCUUUAGGAAGCGAGACUAUCCCUAAUCACGCCUCCUGUGAUCUCAAGGGACUGUAGGGCAGUUAAGAACGAGCACAUCGCUCUAAUCUCCUGAAGUUCUCCUAGGCUAGGAGAAAUAAGAGUUUGUUGUCUGUUACCUCACCUGUUUCCUACCCUAAUUGCUUACCUACCUUGCAAUCAAUAUCACAAUUCUUUGUAUCUUUUCUUUCUUUUUAUAACUCUCUGUUCCUAUGGGAUUUUGUUUCUUUAUAACCUUCAUUUGAAGAACAAAUCCAUGUUUGAACCUAACACUUAGGGUUAUUUUUUUGACAGGGAUGAAAGAAUUAGGAUUUUUGCUCUUGCAAGAUAUAACUAGAUCAUCAAGCAUUUCAUUAUAUUUGCUGAGCCGAUACGAGCUUGAGUGAUAUUUGAGCAAAGUUUCUCUCAACUAAGGAUGUAAGCAAUACUUGUAUUAUUUCAUGUUUGUACUCUCAUUAGUAUUUUGAUAUUUUUUACGAAAUCCUUAGUGGUAACCAAAUGAGGAGAUAAGACCGUUCUAGAAAAAUGACUUGUAUCAUGACCAUUCCAGAAGAAUGGCUUGUAUUCAUGAAUUAUUAAUGCAAAUUUUACAAAUUGCAAGUUGACUACAUUGAUAAUACAUUGCAUUAAAGCCUUAGAAGAGCAAAAUAUGGGUAUAGCAAUGAUCAAUAUGAUAGACACCUAUUUUGUGGCAAAUGAUAUGGAUUAAGGUCCUGGAAAGACAAUCCAUUAACAUGUCAAUAUUAAAAUAAUGCACGCCUAAUACGUAGCAAAUUAUUUGGUUUAAAGUCCCAAAAGGACAAUUCAUUAACAUGUAUGUAUUAAUCUGUGGCAUAGCUGCAACAUGACAGAUAUAUGGGUUCUAAAUAUCUCAACUCUCUAAAUGGAGAUUAUCCACGCCCUAUUAUAAAAUAACACUCCAUUGGAGGUUAUGAUCUACAUUCUCACAUAAUUCAUCUUACAAGAGAUGUCUGUUUGGAAAAAAAAAACAAUACAAGCGCACCUGGAGUGGCUUGGGUACCCAAAAGCAAAGAAAUACUUAUAAUUGAUGCAAGCACAUGCACAUGAGAAUGGUGGGAUCACAAAUUGAUGAAUGACAAUUUUUGAUUUUAGAGUAGCUACUCAAAUCUAGGGGUGGGCACUCAAACCGGCGAACCGGAAAUCCGAGCCGAACCGUACCGAACCAAACCGAAAAAACACCGAGUUGACCAAAAAGUCAAAAACCGGUCAAAAACCGAACCGGACCGGUUUGGACCGGUUCCGGAUCCGGUUCCAUGUCUUCAAAAACCGAACCGGGCCAAACCGAACCGGUGAAACUAAAAAAAUAUAUAAUUUCAAUAUAUAUUUAUAUUUAAUGCUAUAUUUUUAAUUUCACUAAAAAAAACCUAAUAUUUAUCCAAGUUCAAUGUCAAAAUAUCUCUCUUUUCUUACUUUAAUAUUUAUUUUUUAUAUGAAAUUGAGUAAUUUGUUAAUUUUCAAGUAAAAAAAUAAUAUUUCAGUUGAGAAUUGUAUUAAAAAACAAUUUAAAAAAAUAAUUUUUAUAAUUCGGUUCAAAACCGAACCGAAACCGGAACCGGACCGAAACCGGUUCAAACCGAACCGGACAGUUUUUGAAAUUUUUUUUAUUAAAACCGAACCGAACCAAACCGGAUGAAUAGUACCAGAUCGGUUCUACUUUUAGGCAAAAACCGGUCCAAACCGAACCGUGCCCACCCCUACUCAAAUCAUCAAUGAGCUUUGUUGAUUGGAACCACGUUCUAUUAUUAAAUGUCGACAAAAUCAUUGGCUAAAAUGGAAAAAGGCCAUUCCAUUACAGAUCAGAAUGAACGUGGAAGAACAAACCUAUAGUAUGAACCCCAAAAAGAUGUUAGCAUUGCAGGUUAUACAUAGGUGUUCGAGAUAAAGAGUAAUACACUCACUUUAUAUGACACAAAUGUUUCUGGUAGAAACAAGGAAUAUUGAGGUUCUCCAUAUUUACACAUGCAAUCGUGGCUUCUUAUUGCAUAUUUACGGAGACCAACAUGCUAUCUUUAAGGGUUAUUAAAUGCAUGGAAGCAUAUCACUAGAAGUGAUUCCCUGAAGAUGUAUAAGAGGAAUAAAUAGCUGAGUAUAAAGCUAUAUUGUGUGUCAUGAAGUGUAAUCCCUUAAAUUAAAUACCUGAAAGAUUAAAAUUGGAUGAAGCAAGUCUUUAAAGGACACGUGCCUGAAACACAAAUUUGUACUCAAUAUUAAUAUGUACAAAUUGCCUCAGAGAGUACUUUGAUUGAAUUCAAAUUUAAAGAUGUUGCAACGUAUUCAAAUGUUUAAAGUUAUGGAAAAUAUUUAGACUCCUGAAGAGCCUACAAAGAAUAACAUAUGCAAUUAUUCUUAAAAUAUACAAAAAUAUAUAUGAAUGAUUGACUAUACCAUAUAAAGUUUCAAUACUCUUAUCAUUAUAAAUCUGAGUUUUUAUUUAUUUAUUUAUAUAUAUUGAAAAACCUAUGAAAUUAUUCAAGUCAUUGUAUGCAGUAAAAUAUUUAUAAAAAUAGCCUAGAUAUUGUUGUAUUAUUCUGACCUCAAUAGGGAUUAAAUAAAUGAAGACAUGCAUACAUCCUCCAAUGAUAGGGGUGGGCAUCAAUCCGGCCGAUCCGGUCAAUCCGGCCGAACCGAUUAUAUUGGAUUGGUUUGGUUUGGUUUUGACCAAAGAAAAAGUCAACAUUUUGAAAAACCGAACCGAACCGGUUUGGUUUGGUUCAGCUGUGGUUUGAGAGUUUUAAAAACUGUCAUAAACCGAACCGGACCGAUUAUAAAUUAAUUUAUUAUUUAUUUAAUUUAGUUUACAUGUGGCAAGGUUUGUGUGCGUUUUGUGAGUCCGCGUAUCUGAAUGUUGGUGCACGUUUUGAUCUUCUAAUUUGCAUAUCCCAGUUAUUUGUGUGUGCUUGUAUUUCCCUCUCUUUCUAUCUCUACUAUGUGUGUUUGCUCUUUGUGUUGUGUGGCUCUUCUUACUCUAUCUAUCUUAAUUAAUGGGUCCAUUUCAUAAUUUUAUACGCAUUCAAACUCCACCUCUGUGAUAAAAGUAUUUACCUCUCUGUGAUAAAAGCUUUUCAUUUGUUUGUAUUGUGAUGAAUGCAAUGAGUAAAUUUAAUGCAAAUUUUGUAUAUGUUUGUUUUGAUGAAAAUUGUGAACUUAGAUGCAUGCUAGACAUUGGACAACCUUUGAAUAAAUGGAAUGAUGUUGUAUUAGCCUUUGAUGGAAUGGAAUGGAAUGAUAUAAUGGCAAAAUGUUAGCAUUAUAAUGUAAGAGCAGGUUGAAAAAUGCAUGGUUUUGUGUUAGGCACAAACCGGCCGAACCAAUCCGAACCAAACCGAUUACAAGUGGUUUGGAUUGGUUCGGUUUUCAUUAUGAUUUUAGGCUAAUCCGAACCAAACCGGACCGUUAUUUUCUUAUUGGUUCAGCUGUGGUUUGAGAGUAAAAUCGAACCAAUCCGGACCGUGCCCACCCCUAUCCAAUGAUGCUACAAGAGCAAGUUUUAUACAGGCAUUACAAAAGCUCAAUCUGUGAAGGACGAAUGUGAUAGCAAUAUUAGACCAUCAAAUAAUCCAUGUAUGGAGUUAUCAAGGAGAGUAGUUCUUUAGGGGGAGCAUCCAACAAUGUUGUAAUAUUGAUUCACAAAAGUAGUACCAAUUAUGACAUUCAUAGAAAGUAAACAAUACGGCUUAAAAAUAUUUUUGCUAAGCAUUAAGGAGAGCAUGCAGUCAAUAAAGAUAAUGUCGCAUGUGUGUCAGGGUUAUACACAGUUUUAUGUUACACAUGGUUAUGUACUUUUUUUUUCAUUUCGACCAGUUUUUGUCUCACUGGGUUUGACUGGCAAGGUUUUUAAUGAAGUAUAGUCCAUGCAUGGUAAACAUCCAGGAGAGUUGUAAAUCCAUGAUAAGAUGGAUGCCCACCAUAUCUACAUACGCCAUGUAAUACCUACCUCUCCCAUUACACCUUUGUGAUGUAAUUGAAACCUACCACUUAGAACAUCCACAAUAGGCUCCCUAAAUCACCUCCUUAGACAAAUUUUAGGAAGGAAUCGUAAAAACGCAACUCCAACCACGCUCCCCAUCCACCUCCUAAAAUAGGAAGUCCUCUAGGAACUCCUAAAUCUGAGGAGAGAGAAAAGACUCUUAGUGACUCCCUAUAAUUUAAUGCUGCUUUAUUUAAUGAGUAUUUCAAACCUUUAUUUAAUUCUAAUUAUUUUUUAUUUUAUUUUUUAAUAGAGAUGGGUCAAUCAAAAAAGAGUUAUAGCAUUUAUGACUCUCCAAAUUAAGGAGUAUGGUUGGAGUUGAAAUUUUUUAGAGAACUCCUAAAAUAGCUUUCUUAUAUUUUUAGCUAAAUUUUAGCUAAGAAAUGAGAACAUCAUUGUGGAUACUCUUACGUAGUAAACUAUGUAUUUCCUAUGCCUAUAAAUAGACACCAAAGAUAGAUGAAAAAUACACAAGACUAGAUGAGUGAAAACUCAUGAUUAAUCUCUUGAGAAAUGUUCAUCCAAAUUUCUCUCCAAAAUCCUCUUAAUUCUAUAACAUUUUUAAAAUUUUAGUUUGGUCCUCAUGAUUUUCAUCAAAAUAUGACAAGGCGCUCUUUCCCUGAACCCACCCCGACAGCUCCACCAGGAUCGUAUCUACGAAAUACAUUCACCCUCACCCGAACUUCUUCCCAGUUCACCUUAGACAUAAGCAGUUUCGAAAGAGUUCGACAACAUGGGUUAAAGUCAAACACAAAACAUCAGCCCAUGUGGAACGGUCUAUAAAAAAAAUGAUACAGUUGAGUUCCAAGGUGAGUCGUCCUUUUUGGGGGUAACGCGAAAAUUGGACCAUUGUUCCAAAGAGCACUAGCAUAAUUAGGCCUUGCCAAAAUACAUUUACAGGGUAACAGAUCAAACUAAAUAACCAAUAGUUUUAUACAGACUCUUCAUAAACAUCAAGACCCAUCUUAUAUUACAACAGAGCCAAGGCUUUAAACAUAUACAUACCUUUUCUCCAGUUUGACACACUUUCGUGAUGUUCCAUCAAACCUCUAGCAGCGACAUUAGCAAUGAGAUGAUCACCAACAAAAGCACAUAUCCUAUAUACAAUACUAAUUGAUCUCAGUUUCUCCAAAAAUUAUCAAAACUCCCUCCUCUUGUUAAUUCUGCUGAAUUUGUGAGCUGUGAUGGCAUUUAGCUCUUCUAUGUACACUUCUUUCAAUGAAGUUUAGGCAAAUGCUGGGAUGCUGGAAUUUUGGCGAUCCCUAUUGAGACAAUCAAAUCCCUCUACUCUAACUGCAGCAGGUUUAAGUCCGUACUUCAUUCUAACACAACCUGCUUUGCGUGGGGACGAUAAAGUAGAUGGGGAUGGAGAUGCCGAAACAGGAGUAAACUUCUCAUCUCCGAAUCGGGCAUCUUGAAUUAAUGGGUUAGAAGCCCUACUGGGAGGGGAGCCACAAAAAUAUGGGGGUGAGGAGGCAACAUCGUUCAAAGAUUGUUCCAAUCCAUAGCCCUCCUGUAGACACCAACAUGUUAGUCAAUCAAAAUACCAUACAUCCAAUACAAAACCAUAACAUUACAGAAUCAAUCUAAACAAUCACAUCUAUAAUAUUUUGAAAAUUGGAAAAUGACACAUUGUUGAAAGCAUAAUUUAUGUCUAUCCUAUAAAAGAUUAAUUUGUUUAAAGUUUAAACUUAAGAUAAAGUUCCCAUGAAAGAAUUCUCCAAAGAACAGACAGGCAGCAAAAGAUUAAGUCAAGGGAUCACCAUGGUUGCUGCAUUGGAAAAAAAUAAAAAACAUUGUUUUGCAACAGAUAUGAUACACAUUUUAUUUUAUAAGGGAAAGAAAAAAACACAAAGAUUAAAUCAAUUGCAGCUCCAAUUAAUUGCCUCUGCGCAUUAACUGCAGCCAGAUUAUCAUCAACAUAAUAUCAAUUAAUCAUAAGGAAACGAAAUAACAAUUUACCUUCCUGAGAAUGAGGUCCAGAAGCUCUGCCCCAGCUUUUGAGUCACUAAACUCAGAUUGAUGACUGCUGAUUACAAAAGAAAAUUGUUAUCAGCUAAAAACAAGCAGAAAAGUAAAAUAAGGUGGGAAGGACAGCAUCGGUUAAAAGAGGUACCUCAUCUGCCAUCUCAAGGGCCUAAUGGGGCUGUUGGACAAAAUCCCAACUCGCCUAGGCUUGGGGCACACCACAGGGUCCUUGGUAUCAGAGAUAAAGGCAGACCCUCUGACGUCUUCACAGCCCACAUAAGAGGCGUUCUGGUGCUGAACAUUGAAAUGGUUCAUUUUCGAAACCGUUUCUGUUCCACAAAAGAACGCCUGUCCAUAUUACAGACAACACCAUCAGAAAAGAAAACAAAAAGCAGAUAAACUUCCCCAGAAAUAUUCCAAAUCCAUAGAAAAUCUUAAAAUAUUGUUUCACAGAGUUGAUCUCCAUUUAGUUGCAAAAUAAAAAUGACCAAAAUAAUGAAUCCGAGUCAGACACGCAACAUGUUCUAUACAAAUGAGCAUAGAAUUUCAUGAAACCAAAAUAACUUGGAAAGAAACACGCACAAAAACAAAACCCGUAAACUUUAUCCCCUAUUGGUUUGAUUUAUUCUUCUAUUUUCUAGCCAAUCAAACAGAAAGACAGAAGAUGCGGUCGAUUUCACAACAGAUCUAAGUCACACCUUCGAAAAAUCGGAGCUUUCCUCCGUCACAUACACCAACUUCAAAACAACACCACCCAAAAAGCCGUAAUGGUUCACAUCAAAACCUAAGCUGAGACGGCUUCGACACCAUUUGGAAGUCGCCCAAAAUCGCAGAAGAAGUGGGGGUUUUAAAUUGGUUUUAGCAAAUAGUAAAUACAGCUCAAACUGAUUUUACACAACAAAAUUUGACCACAAAACUUAGCCUUCACAAAAAUUACGAAAGGUAAUAUAGAAAAUGAAUAAAUAAAUUACAACGACGAACAUUUGACUCGGAUCUGUUACACAACAGUUUCCGGGAAAUAGACUAAAAAUAGGAAAUUAAUAACAUCCAAAUAUUCAAAGCAAUAGAUCUAAAACAAACAGAAGCAAAGCUACUAUGAUUUUUGCAGAGAGAGAGAGAGAGAUACCUGAAGAGAAUCCUCCGUAGGAAGAAGGAAGAACGCAAAGGGAGGUCAGAGCCACAAGGAAGAAGCGAAGAAAAGGGAUCUGGAAUUCAUUUUAUACUGGUGAAAGUAGAGUCUUGCCAAGGCUGACACCACGCCAUUUAAUCCACGUGAUUUUUUAUCUGAAUCCGCGUGAAUUUGUUGUGAAACACUGAAAAUGGAUUUUGGUUUCACGUAUUUGUGACUGCUGGAAAGAGUCAAAUUUUUGUCUAUUUUUUCUUAAUUCUUUUUUGUGCCAAACUUCUUAAUUCUAAUUUGGGUUAACGACAUUUUACUCCCUACAUGUUCGGGAUCAUUAUCAAAAUAGGCCACGAGGUUUCAAUUUCAUGAAUAUCAAAUUCAACGUUUUUAAAUAUGACUAAAUUACACUUUUCAUCAACUUAAUCGUUUAAUUUUUUGUAGGCUUAAAUACUAAAAUGGUCUUUGUGUUUUAUUAUGUUGGCCAAUUUAGCCCCUGUUUUUUCAAUUUAACUAAUUUGGUUCAUGUGUUUAGCACCGUUAGCCAAUGUGAUCCAAUUCGUUACACUUUUGUUAAAAUAUUAAUUAAAAAUAAAUAAAUAUUUUGAAUUCAAUUUUAAAAAUAAAUAAUCAAGAAAUAAAAAUAAGAUUUAAAAGCUAAAAGAAAUAAAAAUAUGAUUAAUCUUAACCGCAACACCCUUCUCUCUUUUCUUUGUCCCCCCAACAACCAUUGGUAGACCCACAGAGGAUUAAGGAGGUGCAGCUGCACCUCCCCUAACCGAAAAAUGCAUUGAAGAUGCUGGAAUUUUGCCCCUUUAUUUGUGCCUACCAAGUGUUCAAUUAAAUGCCACAAACAAGCUUUUGUGUUGCUAUUGUGUGAGACCCUAAAUAUUUACCUUAGAUUGUUGGGCUUGAUAUCACGAUCAUGUAGGAGAAUCGAUUCAUCAAUUAGAGAAUGUUUGUAGUUACAAUCCCAUGCUUCUCAACUUUAAUUCCUUUUCAAAAUGGGCCACUAGCAAGGCGCCAUAUGUCAAAUUUUAACUAGACCAACUUCAAAAAUUCUUUAAAAAUUCAUAUGUGCUCCGAAAAAAUCACCGAAAAUUACCCCGAACUUGUAAUCACAUGUACUUUUAUCUCAUGACCUCCAAAUCACAUGUAAUUUUGGUUAGAUUAAUUUUUAUUGAUUUUGGUUAGAUUCAUGGAUGAUUUCAUAUGAAUUUUGGUAAACUAAUUGUGUAAUUGACAUGGAUUUUGUUCAUAUUUGAUAUGAAUUUUGGUAAACUAAUUGUGUAAUUGACAUGGAUUUUGUUCAUAUUUGAUAUGAAUUUUGGUAAACUAAUUGUGUAACAUAAAUUUUGUGCAUAUUAGUUUAUAUACAAAAUAGAAUGUAGUCAGUUAGCCUUAGACAUAAACUCUUAUUUAUUUUAAUUAUGAAUAACAUUAGUAUUAUUUAAUUUGUAAGGGUAUUUGGUUGUCUAAUUUUUUUUUCCCCCUUUUAGUCUUUUUAAUAUUGCCCCACUCUUGAAAAAUUCAUGGAUCCACCACUGUACCACCCCAACUACUAUCCCCACGCACACCCAAAAGCCCUAACUUCUCCAACCACAACCACACCACACUCGAAAUCUAAUCCACCCCACCCCAACU